rnacentral:lncRNA from 1 species
GGGAGUCAGAAGAAAAACAGAUCAGACCAGAGCAGACAAUAGGCCCCUAAAGUGUUCCCCCUAAGUUGCUUUGAUGUUGUCCUAGUGUCUUGAUACCAGGAGGCCGGGGAUUGCAGGAAAAGGGCCUUUUUUGUCUUCAUUCACUUUCCCCCCUCAGUUUCUGAAAUGAUUCUCCAGAAUUUCUCCUCAUAAAAAAGGUAAGAGCCCUAACAAUUCCUUCUUCUGUGGCUGGCUCGUUCGCCCGUGCCUGGAAGUGGGGGUCUCAUUCCUGCGCUGCUCAGGAGGGAGCGCUGGGGUCCUGCCGCUGGAGCUCUUGCCUUUGCCCCUAGAAGUGCUGCAGGGCUGGGGAUGGCCCCUCUUUCGAGGGAACCCCAGUAACACGAUCUGUGCCUCUGGGUUGGUGGGGGAGAAGGGGUGGAUGGAGAGGGGCGGGAGGAGGGUGUGAGGGUGGAGGUGUGAGGGGGAAAGAGAGAGAGGAGAGAGAGGGGAGGCUGAAAGAGAGGGAGAGAAGGGCAGAGCCCUCGUUCGGAGCAGCCCCAGCCUGGAGCCCAAGGAGGCCUUGCAGGCUGGGAGCUGUGCGUUCUCAGGCAGGGCUAGGGCUGGCCGGGGGGUGCCUGCAGAGAUGGCCUCGAGCUUUGUGUGUGCGAGGGUGUGCGUGUGGACUUCCCCCACAUGGCCCUGGCCCCCCUUGUGAAGGGGAGGCACCCCAGCCCUCGUCACCCCGAGCCCAGACUCGGAGGCAGAGCGGCAAGCAGACGAGAAGGGAGAGCAGGAGAACUCUGCUGCGAGACAAUCCAGAAACUUUUCCAGUCUCGGGGAUUUCUCUGGUGGUAGAUGCUGUAAAGGAGUUGUGUGGGGGGGUGGGGUGCGGGGGGUGGGGAAGGGGGGCGUGCCUCAGUUUCCCCUUCUGUACAAUCCAGAGAGCUGAGUGGGGAUGCCGCAGGUCUGCCUGGGAUUUGGCGACACAGUACAGAUCCUUGUGUCUAAGAGGCAUGGAGACAUCUUCGAGCUGGCAAUCCUGCAGGAUCCCCAAGUAGAACUGUUAUCAUCAUCAUCGUCAAACCAUCAUUAAAGACACCCCGAGACAAAAAACCGGGGAACACAGAUCAAGUGUCUGAGCAUUUCUAAGGAAACAAAAUGCCUUUUUCCACCUGUUGGCUUCUGUCCUUUCCUCUUGUGUCUUUUCGUUAGAUUUAUUGGCCGAUUUGUACAGAGAAUGGGGUGGGAGGGCUUAGGUUUUCCCCUUUCCUCCUCCCUUGUACAUAUUUUUUUUUUUUAAAAGAAGGUCCCUGUAAGAUGCUUGAGAGAAAAUGUGCCUCCUGUUAGAGUAGUUUAUUCAAGACCUUGUGUUUUCUGGCUCUGGUAAGGCUUGUAGACACAUCUGUAAACUCUACCUUGGAGGUUAAAGAUUUUUAUUGUGGCUUUUAGAGAUUAAAUGAGAUUUAUUUACAAUUGCUGUUUAUCAGAGAGUAAAUGUCUUACUGUGUGUGUGAGGGUAAGAAUGUGAAGGCUGUUUACUCGCUGGUGGUUUUGUGGAUAAAACCUUUUGCUUUUUAAAGUGACAUCUUGAGAGAUGGGAAGAGAAGGCAAAAAUCAGUGCCUAACACUCAUCGUAAAAAAAUUUUUUUAAGAAAAAAAAUGUCUGCUUAUUUUCUUGAACUGUGGAUUUCCUUUCUUCUCUUCUUACGCGGCAAGGCUCUCAGUUGUAGCUCUCUUUGAAUUCUCUGGGGGAAUUUCGCUUUCUUACCUAAUUCUAGGUUUUCUGUGACUCUGCUAGUUGUCCCCCCCAAGAAAAAAAUCUGUGAAAGUCUGGGAGGCUGUGCCUCCUUCCAUUCGAACUGCAAAUGUUUAUCAGACUGACUCCCUGUGAUAGCUAGAGAUUGAAGCAAAGGGCCGGCCCUGGUUCAGAAUAUUUAUGUUUUUCUCUGGGAGGCCUGGAGAACCUGACUUCUGGGUGUGAGAAGGGCUGAAAGAGAGAUACUAAUUGGCCUGGAUCGGGCAAGAAGCACCCUCCACACACCCAUAUAAUGUUUCACUGGAAUAGAACUGAACUUCGUAUUUAAAAACUUAAUUCUUUUCCACUUCGUAAAGCAGAAGAUCUUACCAUGGUUUGGUUCCGGAUAUCUUCCUAAAAUGUUAGAGUUUCAGAACUGCCAGGGGAGAGAAAGGGUAUUUAUUCCUCAGGUCUUAAAUGAGAACACCAAAGGCCUGGAAGGAUCAGCAGUGAUCUGAGGGGUUCGAUGAAGCUGCCCUGGGGUUCUGGGUGCCCCGAUGGUGUCGCGCUGGCCCCCUUCCCUGGCCUCCACGCUGGACCCUGUACGGCCCAGCACUCGGGUCUGCCAAGAAGAUUGGCACCUUUUGGCUUCUGCUUGCCGUGCUGGACUAGAGCGGUACACUCAGCCCUGCUCAUGGCACACGGAGCGGACAGGGCGACCCCGUGUGACAGCGUGAGUUCGCAGGAAUUCAUUCAUGUAUUCACUUGUCUGUUCAAGUGAUAUUUGAGGGGCAUUUCCUAGGUACCAGGCGCCUUGCUGGGCACCGAGGACACAGGGAAGGACCAGGCGCGUGGUCCCUUGCUCUUGGAGCACUUGGUCCUGGUGGUGUAAUCAACAUUCACCACACAGUUAAAUUAUAAUCAUAAUACCGAUAAUUCACACCGAACAGCAUGCAGAUACCGUCAUAGGGCAGAGCAUAAAGGCGUAGAAGUAACUGCCCUAAAUUUGUAGCUAGACUUAAGCUAGCUGUCCUUUUUUCUUGGCUGAGUUCUCCCCCCAGCCAACUUCCAUUUCACUGGAGGCAUCCCAACUCGCACAGAGUCCAGUGUUUCCAGUUAGAACCCCUCCCCCCACCUGCCCACAGUGCAACAGAGAUACAAAUAGUAUCUAUUAACCCUUUACACUUGUACUAUUAAAUAACUUCACAGUCAUUGUGAGUUGGCCUCCGUGGCAGCCAUUGCCCGGGUGACUCACGUUAGCUGUGGCCUCUGCACCCUGUUAACUUCUAAUGGGCAUUGGGAGAGACAUGUGGUUCGUGAAGCCCUUGUCUCAUUUCACUUAUUCCAUAGUUUCUCCAGUUGAUGCCAACUAAACACAUAGCUGUGGGAAACCCCGCCAUUAGCACUGUCCCCUCACAAUUCCAAAGACCAUAGAUAGCGUAAUGACAUGGCUUUUCCCAUUCCUCCUGACAAGGACGUGUAUCUACAAAGGGCAAAUAUUUUAAAGCCUCUUCAUCUUACCAUAGUCCCCUUUGGGCUGGGUUAUUAAAAUCUGACUGGCUUGAUCCCCCAAAGUAGGAGAAUCUCCCGUCCCCAUUUUGGCCUUGCUUGGAGGGAACGUAUGGUUGAAAUGCCAGUCUCUUCCGUGUCCGUGCAGGCAGACUUGUGCUCACGCUUGUAUCCCCAUUUUCUACAUGGUGUGUUUCUCUAGUACUCAGAGGAGUGUUGUCAAUCCAUCUUUUUUUUUUUUUUUCUAGGCUAAUUUAGUACUUUAAAAGGAAGACAGACAUGCCCACCCACACAUAAAUCAUAGGUUUGGUGCCUCUACUUGGGGAACCUACACAGGUCGUGUGGUUAAGUCGUGUGAUGAGUCAUUUCUCUGCACCCAACGUUGUUACGCGGUGAAGUACCGGCCUGCAUUGUAGCGACAGCCCUAUCCACAGCUUGCCAUCGUCAUCUGCAUUUGGCACCUGUGGCCAUUGCCUUCUCCUGUGAGCUGUACGACUUCAUUUGCAAGUAUUUGAUCACUUCCGACACACUCUGCCCGCCCCCCAAUGUGUUACUCACUGGGGCGCUGCCUCUGGGGGAGGCAGUCUGGCUUUGGAAGAGUAAUCCAAGGAGGGGAGUGGGGAGCUAAGAUGUGGAUAGAAGGAGGAUCUGGUUGAGGGAGAAAUUUAACAGAACUGGGAAGCCAGACAACAAGUCAUCAGGUCGUCCUUAACUCUGGGGGAAUAAAAAUGAAGACUGAUGACAUUUAAAAAGUGCAUUGUUUGUGCACUGUGUGUAAAUAAAAGUGCGAGAGCUUCUAGUCCCUCUGAAGGUAAAACCGUUACUACCUGCGGGACAUUCCCCAAACUCCUUGGUUACAAAUGCCGAUUUUGCAUGUAACUUUAGUGAAGGGAAUUGUGUGUGUGUGUGUGUGUGUGUGUGUGUGUGUGUGUUUUCCCCCAAAAGAUAUAAAUAUAAGGUGUAAAAUGGAAAUUUUCUCCAUUUCUUUUAAGCCUUGACAUUUUAAUGCACUUUAAAAUAUCUGCUAAGCCCUCUCUGACAAUAGCCCUAUGAAUUAAGUAGUAUCGUUAUCCUUCUGUUAUAGUUGAGUAAGGUUAUGUGACUCACCCAAGGACUCACAAGAAAAUAAGGGGCACCAUGGCUAGCUGAUUAAAUUUCCGUUUUUCCGUUAGGCCAAAUCCCUUCAAGAGAUGAGAAGCAGAGACGUGAGGCAGUCACCAUUGAUAUUCCAGACAAAUUUACUCCUUUCUUUAAAGACUUAAGAGUUAGAGUGUUCAGGUGCCUGGGUGGCUCAGUCGGUUGGGCCUCCGACUUCGGCUCAGGUCAUGAUCUCGUGGUUCGUGGGUUUGAGCCCCGCGUCUGGCUCUGUGCUGACAGCUCAGAGCCUGGAGUCUGCUUCAGAUUCUGUGUCUUCCUCUCUCUCUGCUCCUCCCCUGCUCAUGUUCUGUCUCUGUCUCUCAAAAACAAAUAAAUGUUAAAAAAUUAAAAAAAAAAGAUUUAGAGUGUUGAUCAAAAAAGAAGGGGCCCCAAUUCUAAUUUAAGCUUUACAUGGUUUUUACGAGUGUAUUGGACCAGUUUUUGGUUUUGGUUUUGCCAUUCUAUGACCCAGGACUCCCCAUUCUGCUCCCCUGGACCUCUUUCAGAAUGAGGGGCUGGGCUACCUCAUAUCUAAGUUUCCUUCCUGUUGUUCCCUAUGUCUCGAAUUCUGUGAAGAGAAUGUUCCACGGAUCUGGUCUUUUGGUUACAUUUUACAAAGCCCAAUUCAAGAACGGUGGUCCCCAGAGGGGAGAUGUGAGUUUUGUGGGUAUAUGGGAUUCAUUCCUACACAUCCAAACCACGUUGACGUUUUGAAGUGAAAAGCACAAUAAGCAAAAGUGGGAUUUUAAUUUAUGGAUUUGAAGAGAAUUGGCCAGUCAGCAUGCAGGCGCAUGUGCAAGGAGACUAAAGAACCAGUUCCAAAAGAAUAGGCUGUUUUGAAUGCACAUCUUCCUGUAUAAUAAGUAUGAAUUGAAAAUGGACGGGCCCCGGGUACACCUCUUAGCUUCACCAUGCUUACUGCUUCCUCCCAGAAAUUGUGCUGUUCCUUUUCGAACUAUGCUUGCAUACUGUUUCGAGGGCGCAAGGGACCAGUUUAAGCAACGGCAGUGCCGAUGACACACGCUACGUGUUAAACACCGUGCUUUGGGGGAUGACAGGGCUACUGACGAUCUUUAUGAUCAGCAGCUCCUGGAGGAUAUUGCUGAAGACUUGCUGAUAUGAUGUGUGAGAUAUAUAUAUAUAUAUAUAUAUAUAUAUAUACACACACAUACACACACAUACAUAUGUGGAAUAUACCUUUAGGACGUGAGUGAAAAACUGCCUCUGAAAUGUGACCAAGAGAGACAGAUAGGGUGGAGACUGAAUGAUGUUUUUAUUAAUCAUGUUUUGUAUGAGUAAUUCCAAGCACUAGUCGCUUGAAACUGGCUAAAUCUUUGAAAAGAUAGAAUUUAAAAAUUUCACAUGGUAGCUCUUAAUGCAAUUUUUGGAAUCUGGAGUAAGAACUUGUACCAUAUUUUAGGACUAUCAUCUUACUUGUGGCAAGGGAGACUAGUUCAAGGCGCUUUGAGGAUCAGUAAACCACUGACUCUCUUUGAAUUGGUCUUAUUUCUGUCUGCUAAAAAAAAAAGUAUCUAAGAUAUAAUUACUUUUAACUGGGGAAGGGAAUUUGGAAGACCAUAUUUAAUAAUAUUUUGACUUAUACCUUUAUUUUUGGUUGCUUAAAAUUCCUAACAUUGGGCAUCUAGCUUAACUUCAUAAAAUCCUAAGAAGUAACUACGUAAGAGAAAUAUAUUAUUGACUUUAUAGAUGGGAAAACACGAACAGGUUUGUGAAAUGAUAUACCAGCAAGCUUUUUAGAACAUAAGACUAUGCUCUAUAGGGGCGCCUGGGUGGCUCAGACGGUUGAACGUCCGACUCCGGUUCAGGUCGUGAUCUCACGGUUCGAGCGUUCGAGCCCUGCGUCUCGAAACCUUCUUCAGAUUCUGUGUCUCCCUCCCUCUCUCUCUGCCCCUCUCCUGCUUGUGCUCUAUCUCUCAAAAAUAAUUAAAUAAACUUAAGAAAAAAGACUAUGCUCUAUAGAAAUAUGUGAAAUGUGGUUAUUGUUGAAUGCUAAACUUGAAGGAAAAGAAAAACAUAUUCUAUAUAUCAGUGUAGCCAAUCUGACUUUUGAUGAUCAAGAUAAUUAUCAAAAGUAUUUUUUUAUGUUAUAUGUUAACAAUACUGGAAUUAAAAUAAAAAUCUUAAAGUAUUUUUAUUUUGUUCGUGGAAAGGUUCGAAAUGCCUCUAAUCAAAAGCUUUGGAGAGCUUUAGUAAUUUAUGUGAAAACCAUAAUCGUUGGGGUGCCUGGGUGGCUACGGUUGAGCAUCUGACUUCAGCUCAGGUCAUGAUCUCACGGUUUGUGGGUUCGAGCCCCGCGUCGGGCUCUGUGCUGACAGAGCCUGGAGCCUGCUUCGGAUUCUGUCUCCUCCUCUCUCUGCCCCUCCCAUGCUCAUGCUUUGUCUCUCUCUGUCUCUCAAUAAUAAAUAAGUGUUAAGAAAAAAAAAUUUUUAAUAAAAAAAAAAACCAUAAUCAUUCUUUUCCUCGAAAAAUACAUACACAAACUCAAAAUGAACAGUAAUGACAGUUGAAAGGAACCAAGCCAUCAUUUGCUCAGAAGAGAAACUUGGGAGCCUUGUGGUAGCUUUACCUUGUCUAGUACUAGCUACAUUGGAUUUUCUGCUAUCCUUGGGGCUGGCGUAGUUAGCGUAUGGUUGGGGAGAAAAACUUUGCUUAAGGUGUAUGACUAAGGGACUUUUUGAACGUGAGUCAAGGGCAUACUUGCCUUUUCUAAAGACGCCUGGAUUGGUGGCUUAUUGUAUGGAAGUCCAUGAUAUCCCGGGGUCUUUAAGGCAACUGUGGUCUAAAGGAUGCAGAGCAUUAGUGCCCAGGUCAUUACCUUCGCUUGGACAUCUUUCCACCUCAUCUUUUCCAAGCCAACUCCUGCCGCUCCUUCAAGACUUAUCCUGGGCAUUUCUUCUGGGAAGCUUCUUAGAUCCUAUCUCUGUCCCACUGCCUCUUCGGCCGGGCGUAUGCUUAUGUGGCCUUUAUGACACUGCGCUGGAAUAGGAUACUUCCUGCUCUGGGCUGUAGCCCCUUCAAGGUUUGGGACUGUCUUUAGCUUUUGUGCACCUGCUGCCUAGCACAGGGUGAAACAGCAGGUGGUCAUUUGUUGCUGUCAAGUGAAUAGGUAAUUCACAGUGAAAUGUAGCUUAUUAAGAAAUUUAACUAAACCGGGGCACCUGGGUGGCUCAUUCGGCGACUCUUGAUCUCAGGUCUUGAUCUCAGGGUUGUGAGUUCAAGCCCUGCACUGGGUUCUGUGCUGGGCGUGAAGCCUACUUAAAAAAAAAAAAGAAGAAGAAGAAAUUUAGCUAAAUGCAAAAAGAACAACAGGUAAAAAUCUUAAAUUAUACAACCUUACAUCCCAAGUUAAAAAAAGGAAGUUUCUUGUAUUAGGAUAUUCACCCUUCUCCUCCUUUGCAGAGUAAACUAUACCUUCAUAGCAAAGUAUUUUGUGAAUCCCUGAAUCUUUCCUCUUCUUGUGCUCAGCUUUUCUCCUGUAAAGUUUGUUGUGUUUCUCAUUGGUCUAAGAGUUUACUUCUUACGUCAAAGGGUCAUAGGUGAUAAAUGAGUGGUGCGGUCUGUAUUGAUAUUUAGGUAGUAGCUAAACAGGAGAAGUUUCUCUUAUCUCAGAAACAGGGAAAAUAGAUCUUUGAGGAAGUCUGGACAAUCAGAGGGUCGUCAGGUGAACGAAUGCCUGACUUCCAGGAAUCUGCAGUUGAGACUCACCUGAAACAAGAGAACAAUACAAUUGAAACUUCAUUUUCUAAAAGAGGUUUUAAGUGCUGAACCCUCAAGAAAAGGCCUUCUGGUUGCAAAGAACUGACUCAUGGAAGUUUCCUCAAGGAAAGGGGUUUCCCUGUGGGGAUGCUCAAGAAGGAACCUGAAAUCAGAACUGAAGUCUUUCAGGACCUGAGGCAGCUCCAAGGGCAACCUCUUCUUUUAUAUCAGUCUCGUUCUCUCACUGUGUGUUUGCCUUACUAGCUCCUUUUGCUACAUGCUGAUUUGGUCUUCCAGCUUUAUUCGGCGUAACCUCUCUCCAUCUCAUAGCUUUUGCUUACAUCUAGUGUUGCUUCUUUGACUUGCCAAGACCUCCAUGUCCAGAACUCUACCCUCUCUACCCUGCUUCUUCUGUUUCUUCUUCCUUGUGCCUUCUUUCCCUACAUUUUUCAUCUGUAAUUUUCCCUGAUAAUUGCUUCAUUCUCUCAGGUUUUCCUAAUUCAGAUACCCAAGAAAGAAUCCAAUAACCCAGCUAGCCUUUUCCUUGCCCUUCUUCUAAGUCCCUAACCAGCCUUGCGCGAGGGUCAAACGCAAACCUCUAGCCUAGAGUGCCGCGGUAAANNNNNNNNNNNNNNNNNNNNNNNNNNNNNNNNNNNNNNNNNNNNNNNNNNNNNNNNNNNNNNNNNNNNNNNNNNNNNNNNNNNNNNNNNNNNNNNNNNNNNNNNNNNNNNNNNNNNNNNNNNNNNNNNNNNNNNNNNNNNNNNNNNNNNNNNNNNNNNNNNNNNNNNNNNNNNNNNNNNNNNNNNNNNNNNNNNNNNNNNNNNNNNNNNNNNNNNNNNNNNNNNNNNNNNNNNNGGGGGGUGUUAAUAUAAAACUGGAUUGCCGUUUAGUAGGAACUAUGGAAGGGCCAUCUUCCCUUCUAUGUAGGUGGCAACAAAUGUAUUUGACAUAUCUAAUAUAAGUCCAUUAUGGAAAUUUAAAGAAAUUAAGGGUAACCAGACUAUUAAAAAUUAAAAUGUUUCGGGGCGCCUGGGUGGCGCAGUCGGCUAAGCGUCCGACUUCAGCCAGGUCACGAUCUCGCGGUCCGUGAGUUCGAGCCCCGCGUCGGGCUCUGGGCUGAUGGCUCGGAGCCUGGAGCCUGUUUCCGAUUCUGUGUCUCCCUCUCUCUCUGCCCCUCCCCCGUUCAUGCUCUGUCUCUCUCUGUCCCAAAAAUAAAUAAACGUUAAAAAAAAAAAAAAUUAAAAUGUUUCAUGGUUGACAGUAUACAGAGAUAAGAAGACUGUAGGAACAAAUAGCAAAUUUGUAACCAGGAAAGAAAUUAGGAGAGGGAAAUGUAUUAGAGUUAGUUCUUAGAUGAGUGACAUCAUUUCAUACAUUUAUUAAAAGGCUGGAGUGUGUGAAUAGUGAAAGUGAGAAUAUAUUGUGUCAGAUCCCAGAGGCUGGCUUAAAAAGCAAGCCUAAUCGAGGCACCUGGGUGGCUCCGUCGGUUGAGCGUCGAACUUCGGCUCAGGUCGUGAUCUCACGGUUCGUGGGUUCAUGCCUAACAGGUGGGAGCCUGGAGCCUGCUUCGGAUUCUGUGUCUCCCUCUCUCUCUGCUCCUCCCUUGCUCGCACUAUGUCUCUCUCUCAAAAAUAAAUAAAGAUUAAAAAAAUAAACAAAAAGCAAGCACAAUCCAGGGCGCCUGGGUGGCUCAGUCAGUUAAACAUCCCACUUUGGCUCAGGUCAUGAUCUCACGGUUCAUGGGUUCGAGCCCCAUGUUGGGCUCUGUCCUGACAGUUUGGAGCCUGGAGCCUGCUUCGCAUUCUGUGUCUCCCUCUCUCUCUCUGCCCCUCCCCAGCUUGUGCUCUGUCAUUCUCUCUCUCAAAAAUAAAUAAACAUUAAAAUUAAAAAAAAAAAGCAAGCAUAAUCUUGAAACUGGGGAUUAGGGUGGGGAUAAAUAGGCUUCUUAGGGAGUUUCUGCCUAUACUUUCUGCCUGUAUUUUCUUUCUCUGCUUCCUAUUCUGUUCUUGAUCCCACUUACUUUAGCUUCUGGAACAAUCUGUCAUGAACUAAUGAUGUGACCUUGGGCUGGUUAUUUAUUCUCUCUGAAACUCAAUUUACUCAUCUGUAAAAUAGGGAUAAUGAUUAUUAUCUCGAUAGCUUAUUACAAGAAUUAAGUUAGAUGGCAUAAUAUAUUUAAAGGCAUAAUAUAUUACCUAGGAUAGGUAAUGAGCACAUAGGUGCUCAGUCCAUUGUAACAAUUAUUCUAGCACACAGGAAGGAAGGAAACAUUGACUGAAUGUGUUGGGUAAAAUUUUGCUUCUUAUAUCAUUUAUCUUUUGUAAGAAUCCUAAAGGGUUUGUAUUAUUAUUUCUACUUUAUGAACAAGGCUACAAUUUUAAUAAUUAAUUGAGUAUUUGCUACGUGCAAAGCACUGACCUGAACCUUUUCCUGUGUUGUCUUAUUUAAAUCAAGUUAGGUGCUCGUUAUGUUUCAUGUCGUAGUUGAGGAAAUUGAGGUCUAGAGAGUUUAACUUGCCCAAAGCCGUACAACUGGUAAGCGCCAAUCAGAGCUUAUGUGUAAGUCUGUCUGAACUCAGGUCCAUCUGACUCGAAUGUUUUCCAAAGUCACUUAGCGGCUGAAUGUGAAUGUGAUGGAAUCGAGAUUCUGGUCUUGUGUAGGGCAGCGUUCUUGAAGUUCACCACCAGAGGUAUGCACUGACUGAAUGACAGAUAGUGGUAAGCACACACACACUUACGCUGCAUCUGAGUCUGAAUGCCAUGACUAGACAGACAAGGGCAAAUUUUGGAAAGAGUACAAAGGAAAAAAAAAUUUUAAAAUUAAAAUACGUCCAAAUAGGCCUCCCAGGCCUGAUGAAACGAUUUAACAAACAUGUGUUGAAUGUCUACUGUGUGUCAGGCAAUGAAAAAUGAUCUUGGCCUUGUGAGAGUGCAAGGCAAGUAAGACUGAAUUCCUUCCUUUAAGGUGCUUUCAUUCUGGUGGAAAGAGAUAGAUGCUCAGACAGUUAAUAAAGCCUGUAGCGCUGGAUCAAGGAACUAUGGGAGUCAAGGGAGAGAACGGUUAGUUUGGUGGGUGAAGGAAACGGUGGUAGAAGGAACAGAGGAAGGCUUCAUGCAGUAGACAACAUCUGCCGUGGUCUUUGAGGGGACAAAUACAGAAGGACAAGAAGCCUCCUAUAGUUUCCUUUUUCUUGAUACCAAUGGUUUUACAAAGAGUGGUACAAAGUAACUCCUGCAGUAAUAUAUUGAGAGUUAGUAGUGUUUUUAAAGAUUAGGUUCGUGGGGCGCCUGGGUGGCUCAGUCGGUUAAGCGUCCGACUUCGGCUCAGGUCAUGAUCUCUCAGCCUGUGAGUUCCAGCCCUGCGUCGGGCUCUGUGCUGACCGCUCAGAGCCUGGAGCCUGUUUCAGAUUCUGUGUCUCCCUCUCUCUGACCCUCCCCCGUUCAUGCUCUGUCUCUCUCUGUCUCAAAAAUAAAUAAAGGUUAAAAAAAAUUUUUUUUUUUUAAAUAAAAAAAGAUUAGGUUCGUUGAGUGUGAAGAAACAGCUACUCUUGUUAAUCAUAAGAAUAUAUUUGGGGCGUCGGGGGAGGGGGGGGAGGGAGCUCAGUUGGUUAAAUGUCCGGCUUCGGCUCAGGUCAUGAUCUUGCAUUCGUGAGUUUGAGCCCCGUGUCGGGCUCUGUGCUGACAGCUCGGAGCCUGGAGCCUGCUUCGGAGUCUGUGUCUCCCUCUCUCUCUGCCCCUCCCCAGCUCACACUCUGUCUCUGUCUCUCUCUCUCUCAAAAUAAAUAAAUGUUAAAAAAGUUUUUGUUUUUGUUUUAAAGAAUAUAUUUGUGUUUUCCUGGUCUGCACUUAGAUGUGUUUCUAUUAAAAGGACCAGAAAAUGGAAUCCUGUUUUCUAUGCAUUCUAGUUUGAAGAUCUCAAGUUGUCCAGCAAUCCAACAAGAAACUACAAAUCCCCCAAGUGGCCAAAUGGUACACCAGUGUCCGCUUUCAGCUGUAUCGUGAGGCGUUAAAAGUACUAAGUUACCGGCAAGUGGGUCACCUAUCCAUUUAAAUUUGGAAUGGAGAUUUUAGUCUGUGGUUGGGAGUUCUCAAUUUUUCUUACAUACAAUACCAGGUUUUCUGAAAAAAAAAACAAAACAAAACAAAAACAAAACAAAACAACAAAACAAAACAAACAAAAGAAAGCAAAAUGCCAGUCCCAAUUUAAAACGUUCUGCCUUCGCUCCAUAAGUAUAUUCAUGAUUGGUAAUCUAUGUGUUCUGAUUGUAAUUCAAAGUCAUCAAUUAAAUGUUUGGAGAGGCCUGUAGACAUCUUCUGCUCACAGACUUUGUCCCUUGUUUUUGUUUGGUUCUUUGCUCAAGUCCCUCUUUUCCCCAAUCUCUGUUGAUGGACAUUAUGCUCACCCUUCCUAGAGCCUGAGGAGUCUCUCCAUCCCCAGAGUGUCCAUGUUAUCUGGUUCUUUUCUUGAAGUGACCGUAAGAGCUCUACACGUUCACCAUCACAAAUCCCUUAAUAGGCGAUAAACAAGAGGGCAGGUUUUAGGUGCCAUUCACCUACAGAUCCCUGUAAACACCCAACACGGCCCCUGCCUUACGAGUAGCUGGCGCUCAGAGAUGUUUACUGAACUGAACUGAAUUGAGUUCUGGGUUUUGUCGGACUGGGUUUUUCAGAGCUAUUUAUUUAUCUUGAGAGACACAGAGACAGUGCGAGUGGGGGAGGGGCAGAGAGGGAGAGGGAGAGAGAGAAUCCCAAGCAGGCUCCACGCAGCCAGCGCAGAGCCCCACGCGGGGCUCGAAUUCGCGAAACCAUGAGAUCAUGACCUGAGGUGACACCGAGAGUCGGACGCUUAACCGACUGAGCCACCUAGGUGCCCCACGUCGGGCUGGCUUUGGGUCUAGUAACGUUGGUGUCUGACCUCCAGUUCCCUUUUGGAAAAGAAACGUUGCUUUAAAAAGAAAGCCUUUUAACUGAUUUUAGGAUGAAAGAAACCAUGUAGUAUAAACAGUAAUUGUAAUUAUUAUUAAUACACAUAAUUAAAAUAGCAUGAACUGGUAGAAGUGCUUCCAUGCUUACUCUUCCUGGCAGAGUGGGCAGGCCUGAUGAACUAACUGGUCUUUUCCAUCUGUAAUAUGUAUGAUUCUUUGAAAUUUUAUGUAGACAAGUGCGAGCUAAUGUACACUGGAAGGAACAAUUGAAACAGCUCAUACUCACUGAUGGGCUCUGAAUUACUCCACUUGUAAGUGCCCAGGAAAAAGAUCUCGGAUUCAUUGUGGAUUGCUCAAUGGAGACAUCUGCUUGCUGUGCAGAGGCAGCCAGAAGAAUGAAUGAGAUAUAAUAGGCUGUAUUAACUUUGAGAAUGGGAUAAAGAAUGAUGCAGAAAAUAAUAUAGUGCACAUAAUUUGGCAUUGACUAGUUCUGUAAUUACAAUAAAACAUUUUAAUGACAUACAUUGAUGUCAUGACUUCACCUUAAAAUCAGAAUUCGGCAUUGGGUCCUUUCGUCUCCAAGAAAACAAAGCAGAAAUACAAAAGACCUAGAGAAAAACAACAGACCAUCUCCAAGACAUGCAAAGGAUUUGCCUAUAAUGAGAGACUGAAAAGACAAGGACAUUUUAAUUUGGAUAAAGGGGAAGGGGGGGAAUGACAUUGUAUAAAUUUAUUUAAAAUUAAUGAAAGUUUCAGAAAAUUGCUCGAGCUCGCUUCAGAUUAUCCUUGGUAAUGGAGGUCAGAGAUAGGCAGGAUAAUUGAAAUCCUUGAUAAUCUCCAACCCUCAUUUGAGCUAUUAGUUGCAGCCUCCUGUCCUAUGAAAAGUUUUAACAAAUGAACAAAUAGGGACAUUGCAGCCCACGGUUUGUGAACUAAACAGCCGACAAGAAAGGCAGCCAGGGUGUUGGGAAGCUCACAGAGUUUGAAAUCAGGUGACUAGGGUUCUGGUCCAUACUCUGUGUUUAUCAUCUGUCCAACCUUGAGUGCUAUGCUUGACUUCUAGGAGACCCAGUCCCCUCAUCUGUAAGAUGGAGAUAAUAGCAAUACUUGCUUUGCAUGCUUGUUGGGAGAACCAAAUGGGUCCAUUGAAAGUGGUGGGUGAGCCUUGAUGUUUGAUAUUGCGGAUUGGUUUGUUAAGAGUAUUGGCUUGCCGGUCUCCUGGCACCUGGGAACUUACAUCACACCUUCCCUUUUCUUGAACUUUCUCCAGCUUAUGUUUGUGGCAGGAAAUUUUAGAAGAGGUGUGCCACAUUUCUUUAAUCUCCAGGAUCAUCCACAGAUUGUCUUACUCCCUUGCUCCCAGUAAGCCUUAAGAUAAUUUUGCAAUGUUUUUAUUAAUGCAUGAUUAUCUAAAGGUCAUCUCCUGUAAUUUUCACAACAGUCUGCUGAGGUACAGACCCACAGUUGUCUUCAUCUUCCAGAUAUAGACACGGAAGCACACACGACUUGCUUAAGGACACAUAGCAAUGACUGAACAGAGUCAGACCUGUGUUGUCUUACCUCUGGGUUGAUUGACAAAGUCUAGAAAGCCGACUUUUGUGACUAUGCUGAUUCCUCUCCUGGGGAGUGAUUGGCUUACUUAUUUCCCUAGGAACGCCUACUGUAUUCUUUGGCACCCAAUUCAGGACUAACCUCCUCCAUGGAGCCUGUCCUGAGCCCUCCUUUCCCCAAGAAGAAGUCGUCUUGUAUGCCUCAGCCCCCCAUAUUGUAGCUUUAAACAUACUAUUAUGUUAACAGUGGAAACUCUUAUGCCCUAUGCAAUGAAUAGUUGGUGAUUUGGUUGAACAAGUUAGUUAAAGCAGGAAUCAUACAAAAUGAUGGAAUCGUUCCUUAAGCUUUUAUUUCAACUUAAAACAUCCCUCAAAUUUUUGAUGUAGGGCCAAGGCCUCUCUUGUCUUUUGAGUUUCAGGCCUCCCAUUAGAGUUCUGUGCCCUAUUUCUCAUAUAAGCCACACCUCUGAGGCUUUUGCAAUCAUUUUGUCUUGGUUUCCUUUAAAGUAGAGCAAGAUCUUAAAGCCAUUCUGGGAAGCAAUCAGAUUUUUCCAGAUUUUUUACAGGUGGCUCUCCCACGUAUACACUGACGGCACAUGUUUUUAGUAGUUCACCUUUCCUGUGCCUUUCCCAAACAUUCACCUGAGCUCCGGUAGAAACAAAUCCUCUCUUCUUUAUUCAUAUUCCUUAUGUUACGUACAUUUACUUAAAUUGUGUAAUAACAGUGACGGGAGGAACUAGACUAAGUAGGUUUGGAAACAAACAUGCCAACUUCUGGUGGGCAGACAACUCUGCUGCGGGAAUAGCAGAGGGCAGGCUCCUAGAGGAGCCCACCACUGGCCGUGAUCACCCCGCAUCAUGGGCCUAUGUCUGUACCUUUACAGAUGGAGUGGAGGCCACAGAUGAGUCCGUGAAGUGUCAGUCACUCAAGGGAGCCCCUGCUCAGUGUGGCUUCUGCUCCAUGUCUGGCCUCGAAGAUGAAUGCCUUGAAGGUCUAGCAUUUAUCUUUCUGGUUAGGAUCUAGCACAGUGACGGGUAUAUAGUGAGCCCUCAGUAAACAUCAACUAACACGCCAACUAGCCGUGCCAACAGAAACAAAACAUAACUUUGCCACUGUUCAUUUUCUGCUGGGAGUACUAAACAGCGAUCACCUGUCCAGAAGUUGGUUUAGGGAGAGAGAAGAAGAGCUGGCAAGUGAAUUUCAAAUAUUAAUGGAAGAUAAGAUAACAUGUACCAUUAAACAGUUAAAUGUGAGGCAGCUAUAAAGGAUUGGAUUUUGUUUAGGGGCGCCUGGGCGGCUAAGUCGGUUAAGCGUCCAACUCUUGAUCUCAGCUCAGGUCUUGAUCUCAGGGUUGUGCGUUCAAGCCCUGUGUUGGGCUCCACGCUGGGCGUGAAGCCUACUUAAAAAAAGAAAAAAAGGAAAGAAAGAAAGAAAAAAGAAUUGGAUUUUGUGUAAUAUGUAAUUAACCUGUGUAACUCUAACACAAAAAAAUAGCAUUGAGACAAGCAUGCUUGAUAACAUUUUAUAAAAGACAAGAUAUGUCCUUACGUGAGACAAAAAUCCACACUUAAAACCACAGUAUCUGACUACAAAGAGCCUCUCUGGUGAUUAUGUUCAGGGCCAGCCAGGUCAUGAAAAAAUUUCCCUUACUCAUAUAUCAUUGGAGCAUGGAGUUGAUUAUACGCUUCUUGUGACAAAGUAAAGCAUCUUGAAUUGAGCACCAGAAGAGGAAAGGAGUCAGAUGUGAAGGAUAUUAAACUUGACAAAGACAUUCUGUGGUAGGUGAUUGGUUUGGAAGAUGGUGGUAGACUUCUGGUGAAGGCAAGGAUAUCCUCUUUCCUAAGAUAAAGUAGGCAAAACAUUUAGCCUUGCGCUCAAUAAAUGUUGAACCAAAAUAUACUCACUAAGCAAAGUUGGAAAAUUAUAGAAGGUUUACGCGACUACAGGAAAUGGGAUGAUAAAAAAUACACACACAUAUAUAUAUAAACAUAUAAAGAAUAUAUAUAAACAUAAAUUUAUAUAAAAUAUAUAAAGAAUGUGUGUGUGUGUGUGUGUGUGUGUGUAGAAUAGAAUGGAUUCUCCUUGGGAUCUAGUGCGAACUUUCUCCUUAGUUUACCAUUGUGAGAAUCUGUAGACCAGUACCAAUUAUUAAUUCUUGAGGGCCUCCCUGUUUCUCAAGAGGUUGUGAAGGUGUUAUCUAUCAAAGGAAAAAGGGAAUUAGCAGGGCAUUGAGCUCUCAUGGUGUGCCAGUCAUUAUGCUAAGUGUUUAAUAUGUGUUAUAUUCCUUUGAAUAUAAGUCGCCAUUGAUUUUUGUAAGACCCAUAUUACUUUAUGUGCCACUAUGACACAAAAUAACACUCUCAAUUAAACUAUGGCACACUACCAGUGUUCAAGUGCAUCUUGAGGGGUUGGGGGAGAGGGGAAAGUGGGUGAUGGGCAUUGAGGAGAGCACUUGUUGGGAUGAGCACUGGGUGUUGUAUGGAAACCAAUUUGACAAGAAAUUAUAUUUUAAAAGAAUGCAUCUGGAUUUGCAAGCUAUUAAAAGGUGAAAAACUACCCAUCUUAGAAUUGAGGCGAUAUGGUAUCUCAUUUAAUCCUCCCAACGACCCUUGAAAUAAGUAUUAAUAUUGCCAGAUGAAGAAAGUGAGGCUCAGAGGAGUCAAGUAAUUGGCCUAAAGGCAAAUAGCUGUCAAGCUCCAGGGCUGGAAUUUGACCCCAAUUAGUGUCUCCAAAUCCAGUCCCCUUUUCAUAGUCCUGUGCUGCUGAUUGAAAUCAGGGCUUGCUACAGAACUCAGGGAUUUUUUUCCCAAUAAAAUGUGUUCUACUAAAAGUAUUUACCUUAGGACCUAUCUCCCAAAGAUGUUUCCUUGAGGGAAAACUGUGAGCGACACUGGGGUCAAUGAUGGCCAUGGAUUUCUAAGAGUAGAAGGAAAAUUUGAGUUCCUCUGGUGCAUGAACCCCUGAUGAUAACAUUCUCCCAAGGAGCCACGCAGCCUCUGAGAAUCACCAGCAGGACAGUCACUUGGGCGGCCCAGUGCACCUGUUGUGAGCUCGGCUUUCAUCUACUCUCUAGUCCUCGUUCUGUCUGCAGAAAUAUAUAGAGUUGGCCUCACUGUCUUAACCCCUUGUGGCCCCUUCCCAUGUUUGCAACAGCUAUGAGGGUCUCUCUAAGGCUUCUUUUCUCCAAGUUGAAUACUCUGAGUUCUUCAUAGGACAUGGUAUAAAAAUCUUUAUCUUUGGCCACUCUCCUGAAUGCACCUCAGUUUGUCUGUGUUCCUUUUACAGAAAGGUAUGCAGAAUUGAUCAUUUUGCUCCAUAGGAGUAGAGAAUGAUCACCUCCCUUGCUUUAGGUACCAUACUUCUCUUGGUACAACCUGCAAAGUACAUCCGAUUUUUCCAGCAUCUCAUCAGAGAAGUGUUAAGCUCUCCUUCCCCUGCUCUUUCUCCUUCCUUACUCUCCUCUAGAGCCUCCUUUUUUUGAACACAUGCUGCUAUGUGGGCAACCUGGACUUUUUGGUAAUUUCUGUGUUGGACCUAAGUCGUUUAUGCUUUGGUCACUUUGAAAAUUCCUUUUGUUAGCACUGACAUUUUGAGGAUUUUUGACUUUGGGUUUUUUGUUUGUUUGUUUGCAUUUGAUGGCCGUGACUCCCAAUUUUGUAACAUCCACAAAUGAAAACAUUUAAAAACGUCUUCUAUAGCUUUAAAUCAUUGCUGUACAAAUGGAGCAGGACGGGGCCAAAGACAGAGUCCUUUGGGAAGUCAUAGUUGUUGAGUUACCAAUCUACCACAUUUUCCCGUUGUGCCCCCCAUAUGUCUCCAUCUUGUCUAGAAGAAUAUAAGAGGCUUCACAUAUGCCAUCCCUUGUAACCUGGGCAGAUAAUACUGCUCUUCUUUAACAGCUGGGCAAACUGAGCCUCACCAGGGGCCAGUGUUGGAGGAGGGGGUCGCUUGCCCAGGACUGCCCAUUUGUUAGGAGUAGAAUUGGCAUUUGCACCCAGUUUCUCCCAUCCCAUCCACUCUGCAUGGCUGUACCCAUUAUGAAUUACUUUGCUGCGAUCCAAAGAUGCAAAUGUUACCCCAUUUUCCUGAGCUACAGGAGAGCCCUUCUGACCUCAAAGAGCCAAAUGUUAUAACAGAAUCGCACUCUCUUCCUCCCUCCCCUAGAGAACCACAGGCAAGAGUGUGGAUACCUCAGUCCUCUCUAGGCAUACAACUUACGCCCUCACCUUCCCAUCGAUGUCUCCUAGAAAGAGGUGUGAGAACAGUGUGUGAAAAAGAUUUCCUGGACAUUCUGGGCAAUUUGAGUAUGUGGGUCCUGAAGAUGAGAAACUAGUCCCAGAGAAAACAGAGGUUUUUAAGAAGCUGGAAAAAGGCUGUUUACCUAAACUCUUGGUAAUAAAGUCACACACACACACACACACACACACACACACACACACUCUAGAAACCAAACUUAGAAAGCCUUUCUCUCACUCCUCACCUUAGGACAUGUUACAAGGACUUCAUAUUUCAGAAUAAGUUACUAUUGUGAUGUUUAAAAAGAAAAGAAAAACAACAGAAAUGAUACAGGGAACUACUCCUGGGGCUCAAAUCCCACAACUGGUAUCCAGCUUGCUGGUGGGUGAGAAGCUGCGUUGGCGUGGAUGAGAUUCACAGGGGGCGGCAGCCCAGGGUGAGGUAAGACAUCCUGAGCAAGUAUCAACCUUCACAUGUCUCAGUGAUGGACUGACCUCUGGUGUAUCCCUUAAUCUUCCAGGAGGAGUCUGUUAACUCUUAGGAAGGAAUAAAAACAGGUACCAUUGCUUCACGAGAUCUUCAUGAUUCUCGGCUCUAAUUAAUAACAGAUGGUUCACAGUGAAACCAUGUACUAACAAUAUGCAUAGCUUAAAAAAACAACACGGACAUCUAGUUUUCCCCUUUCACGAAAAGAGUCAAGUCAAGAUCAAUGCAUGACACCCAAGAUAGUCAUGAGGAAAGGUUAUCUUCUUGCUUCCCCAGCAAAUGUACCCAUUUUCUACAUAAAUAGGGGCCUUUCCUCCGUGGGGACAUUCAUUCAGUACUUUCUUCCAAAGCAAAGUCACUUACGAUAAGUGAGCUCACAACACAAUUGAUUGAGGUAAACCCCAACACACUAAGUCAGUCUUUCUGGAAUGCUGAUAUACUAAUGCUACAGUGAAGAAUGAGGGAAUUAGAUGAAACUUUUAUCUUUUUUUUCUGAAAAGGAACUGCUCGACUCAAAAUUAAUUGCUAAGGGAAAUGGUUCUACAUUAUUUCCCUAAACCUACCUUGGGGAUUGAAGGACUAUGGGUAGUGGGGAGCCCCAGACAUGGAAUCUAUGUCCUAGGGCACUGUUAACACAGUGCAUAAUUUUCAGCAACUCCCAAGUGACUUUUUCUGACAUCCAUUCCAUGUAAAACAAUGGAAACCUAUUUCCAUGCUUAUUUGUGUUUCCCGGGAGCCCUGAGAUGCCAUGGUGAAGAUUAAAGGGCUAGACCCUUCUUCUUAUUCCCUCUUAUGAUUAUUCAUAAUUUUCUAAAAUCAUCUCAUUGAACAAUGCCGCCUAAAGAUGAAUUUUAGGUAUAUUUGUCUAUUCAUUUGUUCAUUCAUUCAACAAAUAUUUAUUAACCACCUCCUGCAUGCUAUGUUCUCUGCUAGGGACUAACAAGCAUAAAAAAUGAAUAAGCUUCAAUCAUCAUCCUCAAGGAGCUAAUCAUUUAGUAGAGGAGUAAGACGUACGGGGAUAGCUGUAAUACAAAGAACAGUGGAGUAAAUGCCUUAAAAAGGUUCCGACAGAAUCCUGUGGGAGGUUCACAUCUAGUCAGAAAAAACAGAGGAGGCAGCGCGAAGAUGGUAUCAUUCGACUCUGGGGAUAGAGCAGCAUAGGAUCUCAACAGAUGUGAGCGGAGGGGGCAUGCAUUCAGACCCAGAACACCACAAAAGUAAAAGCAAAGGCAUGCUCCAAGAAGAGCCAAGUAGAUCAGUUUGGCCAAAGCAUAGAAGGGAACUGGGUGAGUGUGGAGAGAGGCACAGUUUAGGAUACAUGCUGUAGGAUCUUGAAUACUGGGUUAGAGAAUUACAACUUAGCUUCGUGGGCAGCGGGGAGCCACUGAAAGUUCUUGAGCAGAGAGGUGGUGUAAGCAGAUCUUUAGUUUGGGAAGAUUCAUUUGGCUGUGGUGUGUGGGGUGGGCUGCAGCAGGGUUAGAUGAGAGUCCGGAAGACCAGUGGGGGAGCUACCGAAGUCUUUCUGGCGUGAAGGCUUGAGGACUAGAAUUGCGGUGAUGGCCGUGGAAAGGCAAAGGGGGGGUUGAGUUUCAGAAACACUGGAGGCAGACCUGGUAGGAUUUGGCAGCAGAUUACACGGGGGUGGGGGUUGACUCACACAUGACAGAAAACUGGCAAAAUGACGCCGCUCUUAAGAGGAACUGAACGCGUGCACUUGCACACUUGCACUUACGUGUUUGGGCGAGGGGGUGGCAGGAUUAGGGGGAACCUUUUUAAAAGGCAAAUCAAAUCUCAUUGCUCCCCUGCUUAGUAAUAUCCAAAUGGCCUUCCACUGCAUUUAGAAUAAAAUCCAAACUUCUUACCACUGCCCGGUGUAAGCUCCACGUGAGCUGGCCCUGAUCUGCUCCAACCUUAUCUCCCAGCACUCUGUCCUGCUUCCGUUUUAGCCACAUUGCCCACCUGGCAGUCCCUCAAAUGUACCAAGGUCAUUUCUGCCUCAGGGCCUUUGCAUUUAAUAUACACUCUGCCCACAACACUCUGCCCUCAGAUAUUCACCUACCUGGCCCUUUCUUGCCAGUCAGGACUCAGCUUAAAUGUCACCUCCUAGAAGAGGCCUUUCCUACCCAACCCAUUACCAUACCCUUUGCCCACAGCCACCCUUUAUCACAUCAUCCUGCUUUUUAUUCUUCACGGCAUUUACCAUAAUCCGAAAUGCUCUUAUUUAUUUGUCCCCUUUGUUUGUGUCUGUUCCCCUCUACCAAAAGCAAGCUCUAGGAGUGCGUCUUGUUCGUAGCCAUAGUCUAUAAAACCAAGCCUGGCACAUAUGAGGUGUUUCAUGAAUAGUUGUCAAGUGAAUGAACGAAUGAGAAUCUGUUCUUCCGGGGGUAUGUUGGCUUUUUAUGCAGGUGUCACAUUCACGUAGAGAUGGACAACGAGGACUAGGGUAUGUGGGGUUAGAGCUCAAGAGAGGACCAUGUUUGCUAUUUGUCUCACAGGAGUUGGAAAGUCAGGAAAAGUCAGCUCCUGGGCCACUUUGAGCAAAGGCAUCUUUUCACUGCUUCUGCCUUAAUCACUGAUGCUAAACUUGUAGUCUCCAACUCAACCUGUGGUGUCCAAGUGAGUGUCUGUUGCCCUCCAGAGAUUGUCUACUUGGUAGACUUUAGCAAAAAUGCUACCUUGUCUGAAGUAGUUUUUGAAAUUCCUGUUUUAGAACUGCAGACAGUCUGCAGCAUCUCAAUAAUAUUGUGAAAUAUUAAUAACUACUAUUCACUAAGCACUUGUGCCAGGCACUGAUACUAAGUAUUCUCAGAAAUUAGUUCACUAAGUCCACCUCAAAACCUUGUAAGGCAGGUAAAAAGAUUCCCCAGUUUUGCAUUGAGGAAACCGAGACCCAGAAACGUAAAUCCCAUGAGCAAUGUCAGAUGUGAGGUUCACAUGGAGUCUGGGGGACUCCCAAGCCUGCAUGCUUACCUGCUGUACAGCGUCCUCUGUGAUGAGGUGUGGGAGGGCAGGCAGGGGGUGGGUGUCUUCCUCGUUUUUGAACGUGAAUGUGACUUUUAUAAACAGCCAGGAGCUGUAGCAUAGAAUCCUGGUUAUACCACUCAAUAGGUGUGUGAUCUCAGACUAGGAACUUUCCCAAUAAUACAAUCCUGCUGAGAUGCUCCUCAUAGAAGUGUUCUGUCAACUCUAAUCUGCAAAAUGCCUGGCACAUAGUGGGACUUCAUUUUGUACUCCUUUCUCUCUUAUAAGACACACCACUAACUCUUGGUUUUUUCAGGGUUUGAUUAUCUAGAUGGUAGAUCACCGAGUCCCUUGCUGUCUUCCCAUCUUUCUUAUUCUUAUGUUUAGAAGGAUUAUAUAAUUUGUUUCCACUUCUGUUGGUGAAGUUAGGUGAGAGGAAGGAUUGGAGGUUGUACUGUCUGAGAAAGGAACUGGAGAAAAUGCGGUCUGAAGUGAUGGCUUCAGAUUUCUACUUCAUUUUUGUUUGAAGCCUGUGACCUUGGGUAAGCAUCCGGGUCUCAAUGUCCUCAUCUGUAAAAUGAGAUCAUAUGACUUGUCUUCUACAUCACAGAGUUAUUGUGAGGAUCAAAUUAUAGCCAUAAAAGAACUUGGGAGAGCAUAGAGUUAUAAACAAUUGUAAGAUAUCGUUAUCAUUGCCAUCCUUACAAAAUGAGAGUCCAUCCUUCUUUUCAGAGGUCUAAUACAAUAACAGUGCUUGCUCUGUCUGUAAAUUGCCUAAAUUAAACUCAUGCCUUUCUUUAUUCUUUAACUGAAACAAUUCCCAAAUCACUCCCUUAAUCUUUUAUCUUUAUACUUAAAGUUCUUGCUUACAAUGCAGUUGAUAUCUGCCCUAUCCAAUAUGGUGGCCAAUAUCCACAUGUAGCCAGUUACAUUGAAAUUAAGUAGAAUUAAAUAAAGUUUAAAACUCAGUUCUUCCAUUACCCUGGCCUCAUUUCAAGAAUUUAGGAGCCACAUGUAGCUAAUGACCACCAUUUUGGACAGUAUCACUAUAGAACAUUUCCAGCCUUGCAGGAAGUUCUGUUGAACAGCACCAUUGUUGAUUUUCCUGAGUUGCAUUUUUCCAUGCUUUCUCAUAACUCUAUAGCCACAAUAAAACCAAGCUAGUUGUUCUUCAGAUGAGGACAUUGAAACCUAAUGUAUUUGCCAACGCCUAUAUGAAGAAUAUCAAGAAUCGUAAGCCAUCACCUACUCCAACUUUCUAAUUUUACACACGAGACAAUUGAAGCCCAAAGAGGUGAGAUCACUUGCUCCAGCCCAUGCAACUCUUCAGUGGAUUUCCACUGCUCUUUACACAGUGUAACUGUGGACACAUGAGUAAUAGAAUAGGCUGAUAUUCCUUUUGCAGGGCUGCUAAUACCAUCCAUCUCAGAAGAAGAUAUGCCUGAGACAGAAUUUACAAGUAGCUUGCUAUUGUCGUUCAGCAUCCUUCUCUUGCCUCGCUAAGUGAACCCCCACUCGGUCACAGUGAAGAUGUGCUGAAAGCUGGAGAGCAUGCCCCUUCCAUGCUGUCUCUAAGUUACAAGUGCCCUAGAAAAUGGCUGCCCUGCAGACCGGAGUAUUCCAUGAUGCAGAAUUUGAAUCAAUUCCCCAGACCAGCUCAAAUUACUGAGAUUGGCUUCACUUCAUCUUUGCACUUAUUUAAAUCAUGAAAUAUUGAUCUUUAAGCAAACUGCUAGGGAAUUUAGAAUGGGGAUUGUUAUUCCCCAGGCUUACACGCAAUAUGGAUGUAAAAUGCUAAAUAGCGCUUGGUACCUAGUAGGUGCCCAAUAGAUGUUUAAUUCCAUCCCUCCAGCUCCACCCAUUUCCACCCCGUCAUCUCACCAGCUGCCAGCCCUGUCCUAGAUAACCAACACAAUACUUGUAACUCCCAGUUUGCUAGAACCCCAAACAACUGUUUUUUAAGUCUUAUCGCUCUCAUUAACCUUCAGAGAGAGACUACAACCAGUGUAUUAACAAUUUGUAAACAUAUGGGGGGAAGGGGGCACAUGUUUUUUUAAUUUAUUGUCAAGACAAAGGAUCUGAUUGGUUUAAAGCAUUUCUAGAGGCAACAGGGAGUUGGCAUUUCUACAACCAACUUCCAAUUGGAAGUAGGAAGUGUGCCAGAAAAUUUGCACUGUGUGGUUGCUUUAUCCCUCCGUAUAUGUGUGUGGACCAAGCAAUAUCAUUAAUAAGUUUAGGAAGAGAAUUCUACCCUGGCCUGCUUUUCACGGUUAUAGAUACCUUAUUUCCAAAAUAUUCUAAUUGAGUUGACAUUUCACACACAUUUGGUAUAUGCCUAAGGGAAAUUUAGGAGGGAAAAACAAAAUGGAACCUGUUCAUUUAUUUCUGAGUCAAGUAAAAGCAAGGAGAAAAUAUUUCAUUUUGAAAAACCAAAUAUCCUCAACAAUUAAUGAUAUAAAAAUCAGUAUUUUCCUAAAGCAUCAAACUUGGCAUGUAACUGAGCCUCAGUGGGGAAUAAUGCCUAACUCUGUUAGAGGAGAAUAUGGGUGGAAAUAAUGAGACCGUAAGAAGUGAAAGCAAGUAGUGUUCCUGCAUAAUGAAGCCUAAAUCCGUUCUUGUCCUAGGACCACCCCCCCCCCCCCCCCAUCUCAGGAACCAAUCUCUCCUUCCUCCUAAGGCAGAGAUCCCCCUAUCUACUUUGAGGGUGGCUUUGCUAGUGACCCAGCAGGUCUGACUGCUUUUCCACUCUCUAUUUCAAAUUUUAUGUUACAUCUCAGCUCUAAUAAUUGCACUUUCAAAUUGCACACAACCUACUCUGCAACGCGGUUGCACACACGAACACUAGCAAACCCCUUAUACUCCCCUCCACGGAGCAGGCUUCAUCCUCCCAGGAAUGGAAGCCUUUGCCUAUGGAGCUUUAGAUAUGCUAACGAGCCCACCUACCUCUGGAGCCAAUGCCUUAUCUUUUUAGACGUCCAAGGCACCCUCUCAUUCCAAGAAGGUUCUAGUCAUGCUGCUUCUCGCCAAUAGCGCUCUGUCAUAGGAUUGAAGUGUUUUAGGGCACAACUGUGAUCGAACGAGACUUUAAAACCCGACAGAGCAAAUUCUUCGUAACAAUGGCCUGUUGACACACACCACACAGAAUGCUGGACUUCGUGGCACUGGGAAGUUUCAGAGACGAGAUACCAUUUGGUCCAACUUGUAACAAUGCUUAAAUCCCUUCUCUCAGUCAUUUCCUACCUGGGCAGUGCUGAACCAGAAAGAUGAAAAAGAAGCAAAACCAAGCAACUUUCUUAGUCAUUUUACUUGGAUCCAAACAGAACAAUUAGUAAUCGUUGGUGAUUUCUUAUACCCUUACUUGAGCCUUUCACUUUUUUUUUCAAGUACAAGAAAGAUGAGAUGAAAAAAGGAGCACAAAUUCAGGCAACCUGUUAACAAUCUUCUUUUACCUGCUUCCUUCCUUCCCACAGAUCUUCCUAAAAGACUUAGUAAAUGAAAUCAUUAGACUUGAGGACAUCUUUGAAGAAAAGCCUCUUUCUGUCUAGGCCCAGAUCAGAGGGCAGUUUAAGAGAGGAUGCAUUUCUUUAUGUGUGUCCUUGUGCACGUGUUUCCAUUUUCUAUUUUUUUUAAAGUUUUAUUUGCUUAUUUAUUUACUUACUUAUUUAAUUUAUUUAUUUUUAAGUAAUCUCUACACCCAACGUGGGGCUCGAACUCACAACCCUAAGAUGAAGAGUUAUGUGCUCUUCUGACUGAGCCAGCCAGGGGCUCCCCCCGCCCCCACCAUAGCUCUCUUGGUCAUCUGUCCUGUCUCCCUCACCAUUCUCAUUAUUCAUUUACUUAUUCAAUCAUUCCCUGAGUACCCAACACUGUGUCAGGGGCUAAGGAUUCCUAGAAAUCAUAAGAUAAAUGCCCUCCCUACAGGAAGCAUACUGUGUUGUACAGUGAUAAAUAAAUAGCCCUAUAUAAAGUGGCAAAAAAAAAUAUUAAUAGGAGCCGAGAGGAGGGAAGGUGAUGACUGGGCAGCUGGGGGAGGUAGGGGAGGAGAAAUUCUUAUAGGUCUAGAGGAGUCUUCUGGGUGAACAAAUGGGGAAGAGAGGCAAGUAGAAGAAAGGCACCCAGUAAGAGGGAACAGAAUAUGCAAGAUCGUGGAGCCAUUUGAGACCCAAGUCUUCUUAGUAAAUAACUACUUUCUUAAGGAGGAUUCUUUUUGGAGAAAGUAGAAGGACAUGGGCAGGGGGUUAGUGGAGGAAAAAGUCUGUCACAUGAUAAGGAAUUUGAACUUUAUCCUAUAAGGUCAUUCUGACAGUACUUUGGAAUAGGACAAGACUGGGGACAGAGAUAUCAACCAGUAGACUGUCACAGGGAAACAGGAAAGAGGUGGUGAGGGUUGCUGGUAGGUAGAAUGAGGAGGAAGGGGCAUAUUUAAAACAUAUCGGAGGGGCGCCUGGGUGGCUCAGUAGGUUAAGCGUCCGACUUUGGCUCAGGUCACGAUCUCAUGGUCCGUGAGUUCGAGUCCCGUGUCGGGCUCUGUGCUGACAGCUCAGAGCCUGGGGCCUGCUUCGGAUUCUGUGUCUCCCUCUCUCUCUCUGCUCCUCCCCUGUUCAUGCUCUGUCUCCGUCUGUCUCAAAAAUAAACAUUAAAAAAAUAAAUAAAACAUAUCGGAGGUAGAAUCUGCAAGAUAGUGUGGGAAUAAGGAGUGGAAAGGGUCUAGGAGAUGCUGUUUUCUGGUUCAGGCACUUCGGCAUUAAAGGUGUCACUUUCUGAACAAAAAGAACAAAUAGAGGUUAAAAAAGGAGGAUUGACCACAGGAGAUUAGUUCUGUUUAUGUUGAAUCUGAAGACUCUGUGGGACUCUAUGGGCAUGGUGAUGCCUAACGGGGCUAGUGUUUGGAAAAAUCCAGUUAGAGCUCAGCUCAUUUCAGCAAACAGUUAUGGUGUGCUUUCUGUGUGCUCCCCAGGAUGUCCGGGUUAGAGAUAUUGGUGUGAGACCCAGCUGUUUGUAAGUGGCAAUUGAAAUUAUGCACAAUCACCCAGGAAGGGCACGUUGGGAAAAAAGACAGGUCUUGGGAUGGAAUGGUGGGGAUCCCUGAUCCCUAAUGAGAAGGGAGAGGAGAGCUGAGGAAAAGUAGGGAGAAUGAGAAGUAGAGAGGUGGUAUCGUGGAAGCCACGUCAGGGAGAGAAACGCACGAGGCACGGAGGAGUCAACGGUGCAAAUCCACGGGCAGACAAGGUGUGGGCUGGAAAGCGCUUUUUCCAUUUGACAGCUGGAAGCCAUUUGUGAUGUAGGGGGAAGCAGUUUGUCUGAAGUGGGGCAGGCAGGGGAUUUGCAUCCUCAUCGUCUUUGGAGUAGGGGUUGUGUUUUCAAGUUCUUAUAUAUUUAUACUCUCUACCAUUUGCUGCUCUUUGUCACGCUAUCCCUUGGCCCAUCCCCGCUCCAUAAUAUAACAUUAUUGACUGAUUUCUCUCCCUAAUUCCAGACACAUUCUCAACUGCCCACAGACACUUCGAUGGCCUUCCAUGGGCACCUCGAACAAAACAAAACACAUUUGCUUUCAUCUAAAAAGCCUGAAUCUCCUCCAAUAUUCCCUGUCCUAGUUAAAUUAUACCACCUUCCAUCCAGUCCCUUAAGCUGGAUACCUUGGCCUCAUUGAAUUCCUUCUCUCCCUUACCUUCUACGUCCAAAUGGUCAUGAGGAUCUGUUGACUCCACCUCAAAAAUGUCUCCAAAUUCAGCAUUUUCUUUCUCCACUGAGCACCAUGUCCAUACUCCUUUUCGGACUUCUUUCAUUCUGUUAUAAUUUUGCAUAUGUGCAUGUUUCCUCCUUCAAAUCCAGAGAUCCUUGAGAAUAAGACCGUUCCCUUAUUUAAUCUUAUAUCCCUACGCCUAGUACAGUGCCUGGCACCCGACUGACUCUCCACACAUACCGGAUGAGUGAAUGAAUAAGAUCUUUUCAUAUGUGACGUUCGCCUUCCUGUCUAAAAGCUUAUGGAACCAUUUCUCUGCCUGUGGUUCUGACCUUUGUGCUCUCUGAUCUGCCCACCAACCUACCUGCUUCACUUUAGCUCUAGUCGGGUGACACGUGACCUUUGCCUGAGGAAGAUCAGAUGCGUUAAACCAAGCAGUUAUAAAUUUGUCCCUCUCCAGUCCUCCAAUAGGGGAAAACAUUUCUCAGAGAAGAAAAAUGGUAGACAACCCGGUCUUUAGGGGUGGAGAAGUGAGUGUUUACCAGAGAGUAAUUACUCCUUCAUUGCAGGGCUACUAACUUCUCAAAGCUACCCUCAUGUCAGACUCAGAAUAGGAAUCCAGUAAGUGCCAGCUGAACAAAUGAAUAAAUGAAUGAGCCGAAGCUUGAAUGCAGAGAAGGAAUGUGAAUCAGACCCCCAACUUUAUUUUUUUUUUAUUUUUUUGUGUUAAAUUUUUGUAAUAUUUAUUUAUUUUAAAGGAGAGAGAGACAGAGGGCAAGCAGGGGAGGGGCAGAGAGAGAGGCACACACACAUAGAAUCUGAAGCAGGCUUCAGGAUCUGAGCUGUCAGCACAGAACCCAGUGCAGGGGCCUGAACUCACCAACUGUGAGAUCAUGACCUGAGCUGAAGUCCGACUGAGCCACCCAGAUGCCCCACAGACCCCCAACUUUAAACAAGAACCACUUUCAUGCCUGCAGGAAAUAUUAGCUUUAAGGAAGACCCAUUUUAAAGGUGGGCAUGAUGAUGAGGUCCUUACUAGGGGCAUUCUAGCCCUUCAGCCCCCCAAAUGUGUCAUCAUGUUCUUUUUUUUUUUUUUUUUUUUUUUUUUUUUUUUUUUCAACAUUUAUUUAUUUUGGGGACAGAGAGAGACAGAGCAUGAACGGGGGAGGGGCAGAGAGAGAGGGAGACACAGAAUCAGAAACAGGCUCCAGGCUCUGAGCCAUCAGCCCAGAGCCUGACGCGGGGCUCGAACUCACGGACCGCGAGAUCGUGACCUGGCUGAAGUCGGACGCUUAACCGACUGCGCCACCCAGGUGCCCCAUCAUGUUCUUUUUUAACAAAUACUUGGCGUGACACUGGUGAUAGUUUCGGGGACAGGCAUAUUCCUUAAAGGGGACUGGACGGACAUAUACACAGCCUUGAAGCAACUGGCCCCCUUUGGGGCUCAUCCUGGCCAGAUGGGGUAAAAGAACAGGCAGGACAUGAACUCCCUGAUAUCUCUGCCUCAGGUGACUUCCCAGUAGCUCUGUCAUUUGCAGGAGUCAGUCCUGGGCUGCUCAGAGCUUCAUAUCCACUGGGUCAUUUCUGAUGCCUAUAAAUGGGAAGCCUUGUUUUUUGGCAACUUCAUAGACUUUUUCCCCCUAAAGCAACAAAUGUACAACGUUUUUGUUUUUCUUUUGCCUCAGAUGAGAAGAGCUGGUAUGUUUUCUCAGGCAAAUAUCCCAACAUGCUGUCUUCAGAGGAGCAUAGUUGUGUGCACGCGGGCACGUUGUGCGAGCUUUCUGGGCCACAAUUUUCUCAUCUGUCAAACGAAGGGGUUGGUUGACUUACCCACGUUCUCCCUUAGACCUAGUGUGCUGUGAUUUGAGGAUUCAUAAUAUUUCCCUCACCACCCUCACCUCUCUGUCUGGCACGUCCUGGAAGCACAGGAAACUGAAUUAUCUCAGCUAUAUUAAGGAAACAAACCUGACAUAUUGAAACUCUGUAUUCAUACAAAAGACAAGAAGAGAAUCAGGAGAAUGGCACCACGAUCCUUCUUAUAAAAGGUGUCUUCAUUUUGCGAGAGCAUUUAUUUAUUCAUUAAUAGAUGUGUUCAUUUUUCAUCCUCUUAGAUUAAUCACCGGCUGGUUUACUAUUAUUAUUAUUAUUAUUAUUAUUAUUAUUAUUUACUGUUGCUGUUCUCUUCUUCUGGAAGCUCCACACCCACCCGAGGCUCAAAUACACACAACCCUGAGAUCAAGAGCCGCGUGCCCUGGCCACUGAGCCAGCCAGGUGUCCCAUUCACCUGUUCGUUUCUAAGGCCAGUGCUAAGAGACAGGAUCCUGCUCUGUUUCAGGAUUCUUUAUAAGUGUGCUCUUGUAAUAUGUCACACUUGGGUUCCCUGGGACCAAGGGCCUCUCCCUGAGUCCCUCACUUGUCACGGCUGCCCAUGCUCUUAGCCAGGGUAAGGAACCAAUCCUUGUGACCCAUAGCAAAUGAGCGAGGAAUCCUUAGUUCCUAUAGGUGCUCAUUCACAUAAAUCCAUCUCUAGCAAAGGAAGGAAUGGAGGUCAGGAAUACCACAUGUAUGUUAUCUGCUGCUUAGGUCCAAAGCUCUAGAGCCACCCUGCUGGCUGAGCAGUCAGAACCAAUCCCUGGCAGAGACAGAUUGGUACUUGGUCUCAGGGAAGCGGCCUGCACAUUCCCCAUCCACCAGGCUGUACACACCGGGCCCACUCAGGUGCCCCUGAGGACACAGUGGGUCACAAACAUUCCUAAGCGUAUCCCACUACAAGGAGAGACAAUCAGUGGGUGAGAGGUAGUCACUCACCGUUACAUGACAUUUGCAGGGUGCGAUCAGUUGUGGUCCUCAUGGUCUCUUUUGGCCCUUACCGCUCGGACGUAAGGAGGAUUGCUCUCAUUAUCCCUGUUUUACAGGGGAAGAAAGUGAGGCUGCUGGUUCAAGACCUGAGUUUUCUGAUUCCAAGUCCAUUAUUCCUUUUCUCCUUUGCCUUCUGAUGCCCCAACCCUGCAGGUGAGGAACGAAGCUGACAGCACCCCCCGGGGCAGAGUCCUGCAGACAGAGGCAAGGGUAGUUCUGUUUGUCAGUCUCCUAAGAGUCAGCUGCGGACAGAGACCCCCUCUUCCAUCAAAGCCAGGCCUCCGGGUUGGGAGGGGCUCAGUGAUCUGGGGCAUUCAGACAGGGUUUACCCCCCUGCCCCUUCCCAGGUGACACUGAGGUCCCUGCUUCCUCCUCAGCAGGUGAGAAAUCCCCUUCAUCCCUGCAUCCCACUCCUGUUCCCCUCCCCCCAGAGGAAGUAUAGCCACACCUCUGCAGGUUGAGGACGUGCCACAGGAAGGACGUUCCAAAGGCAAGGCACCUUCUUAGUUCCUGGGUUUUGCACCCAAACUCCUGCAUUAACCCAGUACUCUAGUCGUUGGCUCCACAUACAUUUACUAAGCAUCUACUAAAUUGAGGCCCUGUUCUGAGUACUAGAGGUGAAACACCGUACAAAACCACUCUCCUCCUAGAGUUUACAUUCCAGCGGGACACAGGCCAGAGGCCAGGUUGCCACCAAGGCUUUUGCUGCAGAGGCUCCUAAGAGUCAGGCAACCAAUGUGUUUCCAUUCUAGACUUUUCUAGCAUCAAUAGAAAUCACUUCCGGGAUAGGCUGCAGCUUAGGUGGCUCAGGAAAUUCCUGACCCGCACCGACCACAGGUGACCAGCCAACACUUUGACCCCAUUAACACCUUUCUAGAAGAAAAAGUCCACAGGUUGAAGGUUUCAACCCUCUGUAAUACUUAAGAACAGAGGUUUGGGCUUCGUCUAUUGGUGUUUGUUUUCCCCUGGUAGAGCAUUCCAGCAAAGAAAAUCUGUGUGUAUGUGUACCCACAUAUUUGUGGAGUCUUUUAUUAGACUCUGAAGAUAAGAGACAACUAGAGAAUCCCUAGCAUUUUUUUCUCAGAAGAAAAAAAAAGAAACAACAAACUAAAACUCAAGUGCUAGCACUCAGAUAAGAUAGUGUAAAGCCUUUCCACAAAUGGAUGCAAGUGAGUUCUGUGGUGAAAAGAGUUAAAAUAUGUAAUUCUGAUAGGGCAGAUGUCUAUCACAAUAUAGGAAUUCUAAGGCAAGUGGUCUAAUGAAUAUGCUUGUCAGGGGGUUUGUGUUGGGGGGGGCAUCUCAUUUUCCAUAGGGUGGAGCGUGUAUUAGACACGCAGUAAAGACUCCUUAGCUAUUGAUGGUUGCUGGCUAAGAACAAGGUUGAGAGGCUCACCCCUCGGGACAGAACCAGAAAUUCUUAGCCAGAAAUGACCUUGGAGAUGCCAAAUGGGAAGGGAGAAUAAGGCAAUUCAGUGUAACAUCUAAUAAGAGGGUACAUGCUGGAGUGAGACCUGGGUUCAAUUCCUGACCUUGUCCUUUGAUAGCAGUGAGGGUUGUUGUAUUGUCAUUUGUUUGUUUCUGUUUUUGGAAAUCAUUUAUUCCUUUUUUUUUUUCAAAAAAAAUUUUUAGUGUUUAUUUAUUUAUUUUGGGAGACAGAGCAAGCAGAGAGAGAGCGUGACAGAGAGAGAGAGAGAGAGAGAGAGAAUCCCGAGCAGUCUCUGCAAUGUCAGCCCAGAGCCUGACGUGGGGCUCAAUCCCAUGAACCGCCAAAUCAAGAGUCGGAUGUUCAACAAACUGAGCCACCCAGGUACCCCUGGAAAUUAUUGAUUUAGGUCUCAGUUCCCUCAUCUCUAAAAUGGGGGCAUAUUGUAUAAAGGUUAAGUCUGAAAAUUCACGUGACCUGGUCCAGUGCAUACAGCGAAUGUCAUUUUUCUGGAAGAAGAAGUGAUUUGCUCAAGUCGCACAGCUAGUUAGAGACAAACCUGAAAAUAACAACAGUCCCUAACUCCCUCUCAUGUGCUUUUUUCCCACUACCCCUACACUAGGCCAGAAAAGAGAAGCAGAACAGGUAAAAUGUAGGCUGAGUUCAGAAGUGAGUAUGACGGUGCCUUGAAGAAAAAAAAAAUCCCCACUGCUUACUGAGGGCUGCUGUGUGCCAAGUACGUAUCCUGCAUUCCACGUGUGUUAUCUUACUAAUCUUUGCAGAGACACUACAUGGCAUUAUCAUUAUCCGUGUACUAACGACACAGAACUACAGCUUAGGUGGAAUAAAUAAUCUACCCAAACCCAGAUCUGUCUGCCUGACCUCCAAACCUGUGCCUUACUCUUAGCCGUGAAGACUGUGGUAAGAAUAUUGAGGCAUUUUAAACAUCAGCGCAAGGCAGACAGGCCCCGCCAGGCUGCAGGUGGAUCCUCCCUUUACUGCUGUCACUGCUUUCGGUGGCCACCUUUCGUGAGACUGUGAUUGUCAUUUGUGGGAGGACACAGUGGGUUUGAGUGGCCGCUGUUUUUAUAUUAUUCGUUUGACUCAUAGGAUCUGUAUAGACAAAUGGAGAUCCUACUGCCAUCUGGGACCAGAAUUCCGGAGAAACAAGCUAUCCGUGCACCUUGAUGACAAGGGAUGGUGUUGUAUCUCCAGUGUGAAAUGCCAAAUAGUCCAGGAAUGAUAAAAUCACCCUAGUUUUUCUUAUGAACUCCUAGAAGUCAUCUUUGUUGGUAUAAAUGAGAUCAUUUAGCCUAAUUAGUUCCAAGCUUAAUUAGCAGUAAUUAUCCCAACAUGGGAGUAAUAUCCAAGCAGGAAGUGCCGAGUCCUCGAUUAGAUAGAUCUCUAAUUGGUGUUACAAUAUUGUAAUUAAAGCGUGUUUGUACGCCUCUGCCGCAGCACGCGAUUUGUUUCAUGUCUGAUUAAACAGGGAGACCCAGCAGCCUUUGAGGGGGCCAGGACUCUGGAUCUGACUCCUAUAACAUGUUAACCCUGUGACAAAAAAAUAAUAGGGCCCCCCUCAUGGUCAUGGUGACUGUGCAGCCCUGAGCCGAAGGCCUUCCUGCGAAGAGGACGUGUGCUUUGUCUCCCUGCCGCGUCCACUGCCCUGCAGUGUGUGCAGGAGAACAGAAGCAUUUAGUAGAAGGACCAUUUUGUAAGUUGUAUACUUUUGGGGGCCGCCUCAUAUGUAACCCAGAGGAGACGCUGCAAAAAGAGCAAACAAUAACAGCUAUCAUUUAUUGAGCAUUUACUAUGUGCCCCAAACUCCUAAAUGCUUUAAAUACCAGACGUAUUAAGUCUUCAGAGUGAACCUCUGAGAUAACUACCACGAUCCCUGUGUUACACGCAAACACCUGAAGAUGAGAUGAGCUUAAUUACAAUUAGCUUCAGCUAACUCCGAGGUCACGGCCUCAGGUCUCAGCUUGAACCAUCAAUCACCCCUCUAGAAGGCUCCCUCCGACCCGAGACCAGGUUCCCUCCCCUGCCGAGCUCCUUGUAGUUUUCCUCACUCGCUGUAUUAUAAUUUUAUGUCCCUCUGCCCCUGCUCUGUGCCCAGUGCCCAGCACCUGGCGACGAGCCAGGACCGGACAGGUGUUUGACAAACAGGAGUUAAAUAAAUUGUCAGGAUGGUAAGUUGGGUGAUUCGAACUCAGCUCUGCGUGCUGGCGUAGACUGUUUUCCACUGCAUUAUGCUUCUUUUUCUCGUGUUUAAAAUUCUGGGGGCUCCUGGGUGGCUCAGUCGGUUAAGUGUGGUCUCUUGAUUUUGGCUCAGAUCAUGAUCUCAUGGUUCACGAAUUCAAGCCCCACGUAGGGCUCUGUGCUUACCUGCGGAGCCUGCUUGGGUUUCUCUCCUCUCUCUCUCUCUCUCUCUCUCUCUGCCUCUCCCUGCUCGUGUUUUCUCUCUCUCUCUCUCUCUCUCUCUCAAAAUAAAUAAACCAACUUAAAAAAAUAAAAUUCUGAAAUUAAGCUUCCAGGUAGUACACAUACAAUGAAUAUUUAUUUGGGCAAGGGAUCAGGGAAUAGAUUUUCUUUCCUCUCAUUUCAAAAUGCUGUAUUACAAUUUUGCAAUAGAUCCCUUAACCAUUCACCAUAUUUAUCUAUUUAAUGCUUCAACUUAUGGUACAAUGUAGAGAUUUUUGUCCAUACUCACAAAAUCGAUAAUUGGAUCUAAUAAGCACAAGAGAAUUUGAGUAAACCAGAUAGAAUUUAUGUGCAUUUAUAUAUCAUUGGAUUCUGAAAAGUUUUAAAAAUGUGGCGAGCACUUUCAGAAUCUGUAUUUCAGUGAUUGCCAGCUAUGGUUUUGGCAUAUCCCAAGAAUGUGUAGUUAUUUCGAAUGGCAACACAAAAUUCUCAUGAAUUAUUAUUUUUUCGAAUUCCAGAAUAACUAACAUACAGUGUUAUAUUAGUUUCAGGUGCACAACAUAGUGAUUCAGCAGUUCUGUACAUUACUCAGUGAUCGUCAUGAUAAAUGUCCUCUUCUUCCCCAUCACCUGUUUCUCCCAUCCCCUCAUCCACCUCCCCUCUGGUAACUAUCAAUUUGUUCUCAAUAUUUAAGAGUCUGGUUUUUUGUUUGUCUUUUUUUUUCUUUGUUUGUUUUGGUUCUUAAAUUCCACAUAUGAGUAAAUCAUAUGGUAUUUGUCUUUCUCCGACUGGCUUAUUUUGCUUAGCAUUAUACUCUCUAGCUCCAUCCAUGUUGUUGCAAGUGGCAAGAUUUCAUUCUUUUUUAUGGCUGGAUAAUAUUCCAUCAUAUCUAUAUACCAUAUCUUCUUUAUCCAUUCAUCUAUCGAUGGACACAUGGGUUGCUUCCCUAUCUUGGCUGUUGUAAAUAAUGCUGUAAUAAACAUAGGGGUGCAUAUAUCUUUUUGAUUUAAGUGUUUUCAUAUUCUUGGGGUAAAUACCUGGUAGUGGAAUUACUGGAUCAUAUGGUAUUUCUAUUUUUAACUUUUGAGGAACCUCCAUACCAUUUUCCACAGUGGCUGCACCAAUUUGCAUUCCCACCAACAGUGCACGAGUUUUCCUUUUUCUCCACAUCCUUAUCAACACUUGUUGUUUCUUGUGGUUUUGAUGUUAGCCAUUCUGACAGGUGUGAGGUGAUAUCUGAUUGUGGUUUUGAUUUGCAUUUCUCAAGAUUCUCAGGAAUUAAAAAAAAAUUAACUUUGCUGCCGGGGUGCCUGGUUGGCUCAGUUGUUAGAGCAUGUGACUAUUGAGAUCUCGGGGCUGUGAGUUCAAGCCCCAUGUUGGGCAUAGAGUUUACUACAAAUAAAUAAAUAAAAUAAAUAGACCCUAAGGUGCAACUUUUAAAAAAUGUAACUUUGCUGGAUGUUUAAAAGAAAGUGUGACAACCUUUAAAACAAAGGAUGCAUUGUAGAGGAAUAAGCAGGCUAGAUCGGAGUGGAGCCAACACCUUUAAAACUUUGGAAACCAGCUGCUAUUUAAUCUUGGUCACUGGUGAAACAUAUUUAGGGAUUAAGAAGCUCAACAGAAAUAUUUGUUUAUUCAUUAAAAUUUUUUUAUGCAAAUAACUUUUUUUUUUUUUUGCAAACGAGUAGAUGAUACACAAAGUAUAAAAUUCACAAAGUGUUUAAGUGAAAAGGUCUCCUUCCACCUUACCCCAUUCCCCCCCCCCCUCGUCACUUCAGAGGUGGCCAGAUUUGCAUAUACCUUUCUGGAGAUAUUCUAUGCAUAUGCAGAUAUAUCCAUUUUGAAUUUUUUUUUUCAAUGUUUAUUUAUUUUUGGGACAGAGAGAGACAGAGCAUGAAUGGGGGAGGGGCAGAGAGAGAGAGGGAGACACAGAAUCGGAAACAGGCUCCAGGCUCUGAGCCAUCAGCCCAGAGCCUGAUGCGGGGCUCGAACCCACGGACCGCGAGAUCGUGACCUGGCUGAAGUCGGACGCUUAACCGACUACGCCACCCAGGCGCCCCAAGAUAUAUCCAUUUUGAAAGGCAUUAUUUCUUGACCCAACUCCAUAGCACACACUGAAUCAUAACAGUGAAUUAGUUCACUUCCUAGUCUAGGCCAAGACAGGAAGUGAGAAUGAGACAUUCAGUACAUAGAAACCAAAAGCACAAAGCUCUGUGAGUCUAUUUUUAAACAAAACUACUACUAAACAUCGUGGCGAUGUAUUGAAAUUUGAAUGGCACUAAUGGUACUGGGGCUAAUGAAUGAGAAAUGCUUCUUGACUUAUGACAAUAAUAACACCAUCACGUGUGAGUCCUGAAUCUUCCUGGGUUUUUCUGUUCUGACUGACUCUUAGGAUGAUGUUUCUACAGGGCUGUUCAUUGAGUACCGGCAUAAUGAGGCGGAGGUGAUGGGUUCCGGUCUCUGUUAGCAACUUAACUUGCUGCUGGUCUCUGUCACUAAAGGAGUUAGGUGAGAAAGUGAGGAUGAAUUCAUGCAAAUCUAGUCCCACCAAGAGAGAAAAGUCUCUUUUAUAUAAAGGACAUCAUCAUUACAUUAUUUUGUGUGGACAGGGCUUGGUUUAUUAUCUUGGAUGACUAUUUUAGUGCAAGAAUAAUUCACUAAGCUUCCUGUAGUAUUGCACUAAUAUUUGGGGCUUUUUUUUUUUUUUUUGGCUUAUAAAUAACUAGGAAUGAUCUAACCAUGAUAUGAAAAUAAUUGGAUUUGCAUUUAUACAAGUAACAGGUAAACCAGGUUAAAAUUGUUACGGUCCGAGUAUCUUAUGAUACCCAAGGAGUACACUAGGCAAGGUCGUCAUCAGCUUGUUAUAGUUUAUAUUUAGAAUUCAUUGAGCCCUACGCAUACAGGCUUUGUAGAAAACCUGGUGCCCUGGGAACUGAUUAUUUAUCAUCUCAUUUUGUUUAUCAAAGACUUGCCUAGAGUCCCUGUGGUUUUUCUUUUUCACGAAGGGCUCACCUUGGAUGGAGAUAGACUCUGAUGCUUCUUUUACGGCUGUGGAAAUCUCUCUUGACUCUGAGUAGACUGUUUUCUUCUGAAUGUGCCUUUGGCAAACAAAAAGACCAAUGCGAUAGAAUGUUCUGGAAACAUCACCCAGGACCACUGUAACCUUUUGCCUUUAUUUUAAAUAUUCUGCUCCAUUAUGCUUAUAAAUGCACUCGUAUUUUGUGUCCCAAUUUUUGGCUUGGACAAUAUAGCCACUGGAACUGGAACCAAGUGGCUCUAGUUUGGGGGCCGACCCUUUUUGCUUUCCUUGGUGGAAAAAUAAGUUUUUGCUUUGUUUCUCUGGACCUUGAUCUUUUCAUUUGUAAUGAGAUGUUGGAUCAGUGUCUAAGGUACAUUUUGUCUUUGAGAUUCAACCAGUAUGAGCUUGAGCAGUGCUUCCAAGGUUGUGUGCGUGUGUGUGUGUGUGUGUGUGUGUGUUUAAUGUUUUCAUGAUAUCAAGUUCUGAAUGAAUCUAGCUAUGUAAGUCAUUAUGUCUAUAAGGACAAACUCCAGAUAUUUUGGAAGUUAAUUGAUUGUUUCCCUUUUACCCAGCUUAAAUCUAGAAAACCUUCCUCCUCUGUGACACCUCAAUGCAUUUUGAAUUCUCCCACUCAAAGUAUAUCCCAUCCUGGUUCCUGGCCAGUUUUUCUUUGCCUUUACAAUAUUUCCAAGAAUCUGCCUUUCUCCUCCUGCUGGCUGAUAACUGUGUGACUUCAGUUACUCCCCUUCUACCAUUAAUAAACUUGGUAGUACUCUUGUCUUUUAGAGCAGGGACCAUGCGAUAUUCAUCUUAUUGGGCUUCCUCCUCUCUAUGUCAAGUGCCUCGUACAUAUUGGGCUUUCAGAAAGGGUUGUUGAUGGAACUGAGUUUCUGACAAUUGCUACCCAUCACAUCCUUCAGAACUUCCUCCAAAGAAACCUUUCUGGACUAACUCAAUUCAGACUUUGCAUUCCCUUUAUUUGCAUGCCAUACUACUUCUGUACAUGUGGCUUGCAUCAUAUUAACUUGUGCAGUUCUGGGUUCUAGCUAUUCCUUCUGAAGUAUAAGUAAAGUAUGAGAGAAAGGUCCUCAGUCUUGGCAUUCGAAAACUUGGGUUCUGUCUCUGCAAAUUUUCUAAUUGAGUGAUCAAGGAUGGUCACUCAGCCUCCCCAGGUCUCAAUUGUUAUUGUUGCUAUUUAACCUAAAAGAUGGAGGGAGAGCAACCGUGUGGCUGGAUCUAAUGGUUCUAGCCUUAGAAUCCCGAUUUUUGGCCCACUGGUUCCCUAAAGAGAUUAUAAACUUCUCAAGGGCCAAGAAAUUUCUUUUUUCUACAAUUUGGAAUAGAUAACAGGCUUGACAUAGAUGGUACUUAGUAAAUUCUUCCAUAGAAAAUGGUGGUUAUUUUACCCCUUUGGGAAAGAAAGCUAAGCCCAAGAGUGCUCUUUUCAUAACAUAGCCCAUGACCUAAAGUGGCUCUUGGAUCCACUCUAGGAAAUGCUAUUCUGGACUCGGACACGAGCCGCGAAGACCAGCACAACAUGUUAGUCAUGAAGUUGAGGGGUACACCUAACAGCUUUGCCUUUUUAAGUAAAUGUGUUUAUGGUUUGCGCUGCUUUCCUCAGUAAGAUCAUUUCCUUCCAAGUAAUGAGAGCUGUGUGUGAUAUGGUUGAAAUCCUGUCCCUCGGCUGAGAUGGAGAACUGACGUGAUGCUUGAGUGGGGCCCAUUAUCCCAACGGCACUCAUAGGAAUGCUAAGUCUGGCAAAUAUUAACUCGGGAACCACAGCAGCAGUGAGGAGACAGCUGUCUGCCCACCUUCCUGAACCUACCACUUUGGGGGUGUUUUCUGAUUUUCCUUUCCUUGGCUUGAGCAUUGCAUUUAUUUCCCCCUUUCAUUCAUUCUUCUUUCUCCUCUAAAAACAAAACAAAACAAAACAAAAAAACACACACACCAAAACAAAACAAAAACAAAAACAAAAAACCCAACAAAAACGAAAAACCAAAAAACCUAAACCAAAACAAGGACAUUGUAUUUCCUCCAUUUGUCUCCAACUGGAAACUCUGAUGUUCUCAUUCAUUUCAGAACAGAAAGCUUUUCCUCUAUUGCCUAAGUGAGGCACAGUACAUUUAUUCAUCCUCUCUGCCUCCAAGCCACAGGCCUGGGCAUCAGAAGAACUCUGGAAUCUUCCAGGGGUCCCUGGGAACAGACUCCCAUGCAGGCAGCUAUAGAAUGAAUGGGUUGUGAGAGCAGCUCAAAACCAUUCCUGUGUGCUGGAGACACUUUCUUCGGAGGAAGAGAAGCAUAUGAUCUUUAUCCAUAUGGCAGGGAAGGGAGUGACAUAUUAGGUGGAAGAAUGCUAAUGUACAUCUGAAUGGAUGUAAAGAAACGACUUAUAGCUAAGAAGGAGGAGUUUGUGGUUUAGGUUAAAACCACAAAGGAAGUGAAGGACGUUACCACCUUCCUCUUUGUGGGUAGAAGAUUCUCCUUCGGCUCAUCUCAUGGGCUCUGUGAGACGGAGUCUUCCUACAGGAAUACGUUUAUUGCUCCUGCUCUUCCAGAAAAGCACCCUGCGUAGUGGUUUGUGGUCUUAGAGAGUUUACGCUUGAUUUUUAAAGUAUAAACAUGCUAUAAAUUACCCCCAUUUCCAAACCUUGUGUCCCAAACAUGCUUCCCUUAUCUUAAAUAGAAAAGCAAAGAAUUAAGGAUCUCUGGGAAAUGAAGGGAAGAAAAAGCCUUUUCCCAAGUUACCUAAGGAAUUUCCUGACUUUAAUUCUCUUUUGUUUUCCUGGAAGAGACCUUCUGACUAAGCUUUGACUUAGCAAAAAAAUAAAAAAUAAAAUACAGAUAUACAGAUAUGUAUGUGUGUGCGUGUGUAUACAUAUAUAUAUGUAGCAUAUAUAUAUAGUGUACAUAUAUAUAUAGCAUAUAUAUAUGUAGUAUAUAUAUGUAGCAUAUAUGUAGUAUAUAUAUGUAGCAUAUAUAUAUGUGUAGUAUGUAUAUAUAUGUAGUAUAUAUAUGUAGUUGUGUUCUCUUAAUAGCAACCAUUUAUUGAGGACUUACUAUGUACUAGGUAUUUUCGUUAUAUUAUUUUUGAACUUGCAAAAAUUCUGAGAAAUAGGUUUUAUUAUUCCCAUUUUUAUAGGUGAGAAAACGGAAGCCAAGAGAAAUCAAUUCAUGCUAUGAUCUUGAACCUUGCACUCUGUGUGUUUGAUGGUAAUACUUGUGCCCUCCCCGCCUCUCCUUACAGUCUGGUAGUAGAAGUAUUUCAGCCACUGAUGCCGAAAACUUAGAAGUAAGAUUUGAGGGGCGCCUGUGUGGCUCAGUUGGUUAAGUGUCUGACUUCAGCUCAGGUCACGAUCUCACGGUUCGUGGGUUCGAGCCCCAAGUCGGGCUCUGCGCUGACAGCAUGGAGCCCUGUUUGGGAUUCUUUCUCUCUCCCUCUCUCUCUGCUCCUCCCUUGCUCGUGCUUUCUCUCUCAAGAUACAUAAAUAAACUUAAAAAAAAAAAAGAUUUGAAAGCUGGCUCUGCCUCUUAUUACCUAGAUGGGCCUGAGCAAACACUUGGAUCCCUCCAGGUCUUAUCUGGUAUGUCUUGACUGCUGUGACACUUGCUUAACAUUGGGAAAAGUUCCCCUUGUUGGCUUCUUAUUGGAAUUAACUGAAGCAACCAAUAUAAAGGUGUAGUAUAUUGACUGGCAGUAAACUCCCGAGAAGAUAGACACAUGCUAAUUGUGUAUGGGUCAGGUUCUAGACCAAACUGUGAAACUGCUAAAGUGUGCUUGGGGGAACUUUCCCUCUCGUUUAAAGACUGCCCUAACUCCUCUCUCUAGCAAAAAGAUGCAUCUAGGUGUAACACUUGGAAGAGAGAAGCCAUACCUCUUCCACGCUAAAACAAAAGAAGCAAGCCUUGGUUGUAGAAUUCUGUCCUCCCAAAGCUUGAGGCAAGGGCUGUUUUGUGGUUGUGUGUGUGUGGCGGGGGGGGGGGGGGGGUGUCCAGGGGUAGGAACAAGAAGCCAUCUGUGUCCCCCCUACCAGCCCCACGGAGCACAAGGACCCAAGGCAGCCUUUUCAUCUCUUCUUUUCUGGAUGUGUUCAGUGCAGGGGCAGUUGUAGAUUCCGGGUCUCAGCUGCUUUUGAUCAGAACUUUUUUCCCCUCCUGUGGUGAUUUUGCAUGAAUUUUAGACCCUGGCAACUUUCAGUUGCCUGGAUCUGGUUUUCAUUGCAGAUUUUGUCAAGAUUUUACAUUUAGGUGGCAUUUGAAAGGCUUUUCUUUUUUUCUUCUCUGAAUAUUCUAUGUGAACUUGAGAUUCUGGACUUCCCCCCUGCUGCCCAGUUUAUUCUAUUUUAAAUGUAAUAUUGGUGAACUUUCUUUUUCUAAAGGUUUUAUUUUUAAGCAAUCACUACACCCAACACAGGGCUCGAACUUACAACCCUGAGAUCAAGAGGCACACACUCCAUCCACCGACUGAGCCAGCCAGGCACCCCAGUGUAUUGUUUUAAUUACAAAAUUAAUAAUGAUUCAUCGUAGAGAAUUAGGACAAAAGAAGAAAGAAAAACGUAAUGACCCACGAACCCAGCUUUUAGAAUGCUAUUCACAUUUUAAUUCAUUUCCUUCAUUCUUCUAUGCAUAUACAUGUUUCUAUCUCUGUAAAUUGUAUUACGUAUGUUUUGAAAAAUUAGGAUGUAUACAUUUUGUAUUCUGCUUUUUCCACAUAGCUUUUUUUUAAAAUUUUUUUUUUAACGUUUAUUUAUUUUUGAGACAGAGAGAGACAGAGCAUGAAUGGGGGAGGGUCAGAGAGAGAGGGAGACACAGACUCUGAAACAGGCUCCAGGCUCUGAGUGGUCAGCACAGAGCCCGACGCGGGGCUUGAACUCACGGACCGUGAGAUCGUGACCUGAGCCGAAGUCCGCCGCUUAACCGACUGAGCCACCCAGGCGCCCCCACAUAGCUUUAUAUCAUGAGCAUUCUUCUCAUGUCAUACAUUUUUUUGAAGAUUUAUGGCUGUAUAAUAUUUCACUGUAUGAAUGUACCAGGGAACACCUAACCAUCCCUAUUCAGCUGAUGUUUAGAUGCUUCUUUGUAAAAAUUUGAGUGUCCACACUUUCUUUUUCCUUAUAAAUAAUUCCUAGAAAGGGAAUUAUUGGGAAAUCAGGGAAUAGAGUAUAUACUUUUAAUUUUUUAUUUAAAAAAGUAUUUGUACCUGAUUACUUUUUUUUUUUUUUUAAUUUUUUUUUUCAACGUUUUUAUUUAUUUUUGGGACAGAGAGAGACAGAGCAUGAACGGGGGAGGGGCAGAGAGAGAGGGAGACACAGAAUCGGAAACAGGCUCCAGGCUCCGAGCCAUCAGCCCAGAGCCCGACGCGGGGCUCGAACUCACGGGCCGCGAGAUCGUGACCUGGCUGAAGUCGGACGCUUAACCGACUGCGCCACCCAGGCGCCCCUGUACCUGAUUACUUUAAUACUGGCCAACCUGUGUACAGUCAAAGCCUUGUCAAAGUCUCUUGAUAUAUAGUGUUAAAUUGAUUUCCAAAAAUGUUGCUCUAGGACAGGUCAGUCUGUGAACCAUGGGCCACAUUUGUCCUGUGACCUGUUUUUGUACCACCCAUGAGCUAACAAUGGUUUUUACACAUUUCAAUGGUUGGGGAAGAAAAAUCAAAAGAAGAAGAAUAUUUUAUGACAAGUUAAAAUUAUAUGGAAUUCACAUUUAAGUUUGCACAAAGAAUGCAUGUUGGGGACAUGGUCAUAUUCUUUCAUUGACGUCUCGUCUGUGGCUGCUUUCGCCCUACAGUGGCAGAGCUGAAUAGUUGCAACGGGGACUAUAUGGCCCACAAAGCCCAAAAUAUUUACCGUCUGCCCUUUACGGAAAUAGUUUGUGGAAACAGUUUGCUGACCCCUGCAUUAGUAUGUGAUCCUACAAAUUGCCAGUGGGAUUUUCUUACUUAUUGUUAAUCUGAACAAGUCAACAAAUAAUUAUGAAGUGUUUACCGUGUGCUGGGCCAUCAUAGAAAAUACAACUGACUUCCUACUUCUUCAGUCAUUAGUUAGAAUGAUGUGUUCGCGACUUCAAGUGAUUUUUUUCUAUUGGUUUUCUGUGGGUGUUAAAUGGUAAAUUUUGAAACGUUAAAAAUUGAAAUGUCAAAUUUUAAUUCAGGUGUUUAUGUUUUUCAUAUUGCUUUGUAUGAGCUCUUUAUAUACUAAUAAGGUUAAUUUCUUUUUCAGUCAUAUUUGUUAAAAUCCUAUUUGUUGGAAAUACUUUGUUUCUAUUAGGUUGUUGGUCUUCCAGUUUUAUGAAUUUUUUUACAGACAGAAUUUUACAUUUUUGUGCAGUCAAAUCUAUUGAAUUAUUUACUUAUUUUUCCUUUGAUUUUAUUCUGAGAAUAUCCUUCCCUGUCCCCAAGGUCAGAUAAGUAUUCAUCUACAUUUUCUUCCAGUUUUUUUUUUUAACUGAUUCGUUUUUAUAUUUAUCUCUUUAAUCCCUCUGGAAUUUCUUAUUAUACGAUGUGAGACGAGGAUCUUAAAUUUUUUCCAAAUUGCUGGCAAUUCGACGCGGGGCUCAAACUCACAAAACUGUGAGAUCACGACCUGAAGGAAACCUAGAGUCCGAAGCUUAACUGACUCGAGCCACUCAGGCGCCCUAAUGUGUAUGUCUUUUGGUAUUCUGUUUGUGUGUGUGUACGUGUGUGUUUUGUUGUUGAUUCCCUACAGACGUCCACUUUGUUGUUCCUGAUUAGAUCUGUACAGUACACAGAUCCUAGUGGAUUUUGCCAUUCUAUUUUUUUUCCCCCUCCGGUGUCUUACUCCUUUACGGUGGUAAAUUUCAGUAGCAUCGCCCCUUCUCAUGGUCAAUUUGUCAGGCAUGCAGUAUAAGCUUAUCUCCUACAAGUACACAAAUCGUAAGGAAACUUCCUACCAACAAGAGGUAAAGGCCAGAGCCAGGCCUCACACAUAUGUGACCCAUGAACCGUAGUGCUCGUUCAUAACCACUCCAGGUGACAAAGCCUUCAGCUUUUGUAACCUAGGAGGUUGAAGGUUUUCUGGCUGAAUAGUAUCAACUGGUAUAAAAAGAGCAAAUCUCUGAAAAGGGUUCCCAGAAGAGCUGUUACAUGAUGCACAGCCCCUAACCUUCUGUUAACGGCUCACCCCAACCCGACCUUGGUUCACAGUGGAGUUAUUUCAUUUACCAGGUGUGAAAAUUGGAUUUUACCACAGAGGAGGGGAGUUAUUACCUAUCAGGUCUGCUCUUUAGGGGGGCAGAGAUUGGUGUGGGAUUUAUUAAGAGAUGUGCUUAUGCACAGAACAAACCAUUAGAGAUGUGUUCCUUUAAAAUGGAUUUGCAACCUUUGUCAUUUUAGGAGUGCUAUUUUUUUUUUCUCUUACUUUUUCUGACAGCCUACUUUCCCUUGUAGAUUGCACACAUCCCACCUAGGAUGUGAAUAUUUUAUAUGGCACCAUUCUGCCAAGAGAGGGACCUCAGGGGUGUGACAGAGUGCAGUUGGGGGUGGGGGUGGGGACUGCCUGCCGUUUGGAUGCUGAUAUUAGUCACACAUGGAUACAAAGGAUGGGAGGUGGGCUGAUAAAAUUAUUUUCAUGUUGAUUCACUGCAGUCUGGUCCAGACCUCCGUUUGAUGCAGGUAUUAGGGUCACUCAGAUUCUCCAAUGAGGGAAUUCUUGAAAAUCAAGAGUUUAGAUUUCCCUACUUCUUGUUAGAAGCCACAGACAGCCUCAAAGUUAGUAUCUGGAUAACCGCAUCUGUUUUUGAAAGAAGACACCUUGUUUACUAUCAUGGUGGAGGAGGUGGCUGAAUUUAUUAUUGUUUAGCAUUUCUAGCACACUUUGUUCUCGCAGAGUGCCUUAAACUUAUUUAUGUAUGUAUAUUGGUUGCUCUCCAGCACUCCCAGGAGAUGAGUGGGUGAUAAGUUUUAUUAUCACCUGCUUUUCCAAAGAGGAAACAAGAGCUCCUGAGAAGAGAAGGGGCUGGCCUGGGUUUACAGCUCAGGGCUCCUGUCACCCCGUUGGGGGACUGGGCCCUCAACAAAAUGGUGAUAAAGGCAGGCAGGCCUUGCUCCGCCCCCUCCCAGUCCUGGUGGGCCACCUGGGUCCCCUCCCAUAUCCCAUUGAGCACCGAGUGCCCUCCCUCAAAAUAAAAAUCUACACGGUUCUUGGCCUCUGACUCUGCCAGCGCUUGGCAUCUAAACACACAGGCUUCCUCACAAGGGCGACUUACCCCUCUGCUUUUCUUGUAAAGGUCCUGCUGUUUUCCUCACCGCCCAGCUCCAGUCCCUGGAGUCAUCUGUGACUCAGCCCCUCCAUCCACUUUAGUUGUCCGGUGUGCCAUGUAGAUUCUGUCACCAAACAUCUUCACAUUCGUCCCUUCCCACUGCCACUGCCUGGACCCCUGUAAUAGCCCUUUCCUGGGUCCCCACACUUCCCAUCCUAAACUCUUCAGUCCCGUCACACUCUCUUAAGCAACCUCCGCUCCACAAACACUGUGCUCCCUCGGGGUCCAUUCUCAGCUCAGGGUGGCCUUCUAACCCAAAUGCACACUCCUAGCCAGCACUCAAGACCCCACCUUCCUAAGGAGCCAUUUCUCCUACCCAGAUCCUGAAGAUCACCUUUGAUCCUGCGCAUCAAAAUCACCUAUGGCGUUUGGUAAACAGGCGCAUCAAGAUCACCUAUGGCGUUUGGUAAACAGGCUCCAGCCAGAGAGGGUCUGAUCUGGUGGGAUGGCUCUGGGGCGAGGCGAGGAACGUGUGCGGUGGCCACGCUGCCCUGCCCGCCGCCUGCAGCCAGGUAUCCUGCCCCCCCCCCCCCCCCCCGCCCCGGGGGUGCGCCGCUGGCCCCGCACCCUGAGCCGCACCCUGAGCCGCUCACCUCACCGCGGCGUGGUUCCCACCAAGCCUUGGGCUUUCGGCCCCUGCUGGCUCUGCUGUUCCUUUAGUCUGAAGCCCUCCCCGGCCGCCCCAUCCCCACCUGUUGAAAUUUUUCCAGUGCUUUAAUGGCCCAGCUCAACUAUGAAGGCGCUGCUUCAUGAAGACUUUUCUGAUUGUUCCAGAGGGAUGGGGUGCGAGUUCCUCCGCAUUCAACUUAAGAUCCUUUCAUAGCACAGCUUGGUCUUACCAUUCUAGUCCCCAUCUUUCCUGCCUGGCCCCUUCGCUGUCCCUAAACUCUCACUUUACAGGCAUCCCCAGAACAGGCCCAGGACGCAUACCUCUGCCAGGAAUGCGGUGCCCCUCCCCCCCUCCCCUCCCCCAUCCCCCUCUCUUUUUAAAAAACUUACCCUACUAGGCUCAGCUCAUGUGUCAUUUCCUCCGUGCCACAUUCAUCACAACCAACAGUCUUUCUAGACUCUCCCCUGCCCCCACCGGCCCUAAGUCACUCCCUCCUCUGUGCUUUGCAGGCCCCAACCGAGAACUCAACUGCCCUGGCUUUCUUCCUGCUUUGCUUAACCUGGUUAACGCCACCCUGGGCAGUGAACUUGGCCAAGGUUGUACUCUGAGGUCCAUACUCUGUCAGUCCUGGAAUGCGUGCCUGAAGGAAUCUGUUUGCUCCGAGCCAUUCCGUCCCAGAACGAGCUCUGCUCCCUGCCCUUCUCCCCUGCCAUUUGUCACCUCCUGCCCUUUCUGUGCUUUGUUUUAUUCCCCCCACUAGAUUGCAAGCACUCUUGAGAAGAGAAACCUUAGAGGAUUUCCCUCUCUAUCCCCAAGCCCGGUUCCUUACCCGUGGCAGGAGCUCAAUAAAUGUUUGUUUAAUUGAAUUGUAGGGUGUUGUGCUCAGCUAGCUGGUAAACAACCCUAUUUAAGGGGUUAACAAAUAACACGCAGAGAAGUUCUUCUCCUUUGGGGGCAUUUGCAUUUUAAUGGGAAUCUUAAAAACCCGAAGGAAAUGUUCUCUAAUGGUGGGAUUGCCUGCAUUGUAGGAAGGCUCAUUUUUGGUGGUGCUGGAGAGGGACUCGGGUAAAGUUUUCCAGCCCUGGAGUCCUUCAACUCUUUUGGGACAUGGAUGCACUUUGGGCAGUCUGGUGAAACCUAUGGUUGGAAUUAUAAUUCUAAACAGAAUGAAAUGCACAGCGUUGCAAAAAUCGUUACAAUGAAACAUGAUCAAAAUGCCAAAAGCAUCAAAUCCGCCAUACACUAAUAUAUGUGCUUCUUUAUUAGAACAUUAAUAAAAAGGUCUACUGGCAAAUUUAGUAACUACUGUAAUUGUGUCAUCGGUGAUGAGUUUAAGCGAUAUUUGGGAUGUCUGCCACAACUGAAAGGUGAUACAAAAAUCCCUGUGAUUCUAUUGGUGAAAAAGUCAUGGGUGGUUCAUACGGCCUUGAUCUAUUGCCUGUGUUCCUGUUUGAAGGAAAUGAUAAGUUCCAGUUAGAAGUUAGUGGAAGUAAACGUAUAUUUUUUUUCCUCCAUCCAAAAUCCAGCCUUAGUCUCCAGGUAAACCUGGGAUUAAGAGACCCUGCUUAGCUGCACAACCCGCCUCCCCCACCAUGUGAUGUUGGUGGUGGGUGGUCCUGAAGCCAGGGUCAGUUGGCUGGCCCUGGGCUUCCUUGUCUAUACUCCACAGCCUCUAUCUGGAGAUCCUAGAUUUCUUUUCUUUUUCCCCCUGUUUUACACAACCAAGGGCAGUAGUCUAAAUUUGUUUCAUUUUCACUGGAGACGUGAAAGGAGAAACAUAAAAGGAUUGUCAGGCUUUGGGGGAGGGAGGGGAUCUUUUAGUCCCUAGCCUGGGAGGAUCCCUUCCCAAAGUCCUAGGCUUGGGGUGGGGGCCAGAGGAAGAAGGUCAUUGUAUGUAUGUAUGUAUGUAAGUAUGUAUAUAUUUAUUUAUUUAUUUAUGAGAGGAGCAAAGAGAGAGAGAGAGAGAGAGAGAGAGAGAGAGAGAAUCCCAAGCAGGCUCCAUGCUCAGCAUGGAGCCCCACACGGGAUUCUAUCCCAGGACCCUGGGAUUAUGACCUGGGCUGAAAUCAAGAGCCCGGAGGGGCACUCACUCAACCGGCUGAGCCAGCCAGCUAGGAGCCCUGGGGUCGCUGCAUCCUGGGGAAAGCAGUUGCAGUUUCCCUGAAAAUCACUGCUGGCUCCUUCUGAAGUCAGAAGUCCACAUGGAGGCCAAAGAGCCUGAUUCCCGGGGGGUGGUCCAGCAUGAUAUCCACCCCGGGUGUUGGUUAGUGACUAAGUGAAAUAUCAUUGCUCUUGAAACACCGCACUCCCUAAUGCUGAUGUUAUUUCUAAUUUGGGUGAAAGUGUUUGUGCAGUUCUCUUUUUAGCAGCCAAAUGCAGGGAACACGUUCAGUCCAUUCCCACUCUCCUUGUGUGUUUUAGUCACGUAGAGGCAAUUUUCCCCCACACAGACCGACCCUGCCGUUUGCCGUGACUUGGGGCACAGACCUCUGUUCUCCGGGGUGGGGGGGGGGGUGUGAGCUUAGGGAAUAUAAGUAAAUUUUAAUAUUAGUGGGACACGUGGCUACCAGAGUGAGCACCCUAUCAACCAAGGCAAAGCAUCAUCCCUGCCCCGAAUGGUAGUGACACCAAAGGUUUUGUCCGCGACACCUUUCUUUCCUCUUGUGUGCCUUUUCCUUGCCACUAAUCUGCUUUCUGUCUCUAUAGAUUUGCCUUUUCCAGGACAUUGCGUAUAGAGGGGAUGAUGCAGGCUACAGUCCUUGUGCGCCCGGCUUCUUUCCCUUUGUGUAGCAAUUUUGAGGUACAGCCACGUUAUAGUGUGUGUCAGUACCCCAUUCCUUUUUAUUGCUGAGGAACGCACCACAUUUUAUUUAUCCGCGCAUCGGUUGAUAGACAUUUGGAUUAUUUCCGCGUUUUGGCUGUUAGAAUAAUGCUGCUAUAGAACAUUCACACACAAGUCUGUGUGGACCUGUUUUUCUUUCCCUUAGCUAGACACCUAGAGGUGGAAUGGCUGCUGGGUCAUAUGGUCAACUUACGUUUAACUUUUUAGGGAACUACCAAACUGUUUUUGAAGGUGGCGGCACCAUUUUCCGUUUCCCCCAGCAACGUGCCGGGGUUACGGUGCCCCCCGCCGUUCUCGCAACACUUGAUGUCGCCUGUCUUUUCUCUCAUGGCUGCCCCUGGGUGACAUGUAGUACGUCUCACUGUGGACCAGCGUCGGUUUUGAACUACGUGCCCCCCCUUUCUGACCACAGUGCUCCCCCCACCCCCACCAACCCCGCCACUUCCCUCCCCAUUUUAGGCUAGAAACCAAACCGGAACUCUUUUCCUUCCUCUUACGUUCACACGCUUCAGCAAUGAGCUCCUCUAGCCUUCCUCAGGUGGCGCCUUUUCAUUCACCUUUAUGUUACCCUCUCUGGGUCUGCAUCACCUCACACCGAAAUUUCUGCAGCCUUCCAUCUGCUCUCCUGGCCCGCUGUGGGUCUACCUUCCUUCCUGGAGCUGCAGAUUGUUAGAAGAGUAACAUACAAAGGGUGUGCGUGGAUGUGGAACCAGGGGAGCUGUGCCCUCCUCCAGGAAUCACACUUAACUGUCACAUGACCUUGUAUGAGUUCUGCAACUUAUCUGAGCCCAGCCUCCUUCAUGAAGUUAUUUAACCUCUAUGAGCCAUGGUUUCUUCGUGUGCGAGGUAAGAUUGAUAAUAGAGCCUAUCUUAUAGGGUUGCCGUAAGCCAACCAUACAAUCCAAGUAAAGCCCUCCGCACAGUGCCGGUGGUAUGGGGAACACUCAGUGCUGCCUAAUAUUAUUACUUUAAUUUUUUUUAAUGUUUACUUAUCUUUGAGAGAGAAAGAGACAGAGUGUGAGCAGGGGAGGGCAGAGAGAGAGGGAGACACAGAAUCUGAAGUAGGUUCCAGGCUCUGAGUUGUCAGUACAGAGCCAGACGCGGGGCUCGAGCUCAUGAACCAUGAGAUUAUGACCUGAGCUGAAGUCAGAGGCUUAACUGACUGAGCCACUCAGGUGCCCCGUAAUAUUAUUAUUUUAAUUAUUGUGAUGACUAUUAUUAUUAUUAUUCAUUAUGAUGCAGGUUUCUUCCAAACCUAGCACAUGGCUAUCAUAAGGAUCAGGUGUGGCUGCGAGUAUGAAAAGGCUUUGAAGAAUGCCAUGCAAAUUGCAGUAGUGUUAUUUUUACCCAGUUUUUCCCGUGCUCAAGGAGGGAGGCAGGCAGGAAAAGCAGCGGGAACACAGGCUUUGCUGCUGGCCUAGUGUUCGAAUCUGAACUGUGUGCUAUGUAACAGCCGCGAGGCUUGGCCAAGUCAUUCAACCUUACCAUUUUGAUUUUCUCAUCUGUAAAAUGGGUGUAACUAUAAAUCCCAUUCUGGAUGAUGCUGUAAGGAAGGUGCCUAUUCCGUAAGCAGCGUUUGGUAAAGGGUGGCUUUUUCGUUUUUUUAACGGUGUUAUCAUUCGUGCAUGCUUCACUAUUGUGUUCUGUAUAAUGAACUCCUACCCUAUUUAUUCAAUUGCAUUUGUCCCUGCACCCAACACCUGCUUUCACCUCAGAAUGACUUGGGUUUUAAUCUCAGCUCCCACUCGGGUUUCAAUCUCAGCUCCCACUUAAACUACAUGAUUUUAGGACAGUGACUUAUCUCUCAAAGUAUCUGACCCCUCAACUGUAAAAUGGGAACAAUAGUUCAUACUUUGUGGGGUCGUUGUGUGUAUUAUAAGAGACGAUAUAAAUAUAGUCCUUAGACUAUUGCCUGGCACAUGCAUAUACCAAAUACUAAGUAAAGGCAGCGGUCGUGUUGGCUUGUAAUCACCAUUACUAUUAUCGUUUUCUGUCCACACAUACACUGUUCUCCUUUCAACCUCUUGCUUGGCUCCUUGGCUCUCCCUCCUGGGUCACUAGGCCUAGUUCAACUUCUGGUGCUGCAGAUGAUUGCUCCAGACUCUACUUAUUGUUUUCCACCCCGCCCCCCGCCCCCCACCAAAGUCGAGUUUGUUUCCUGUCUGUCAUGUCUGUAACACAAUUUAGGAAUUAAUUGUUACUAAACUUUUUGUGUUUUCCCAACUGAACUGUAAGGUUCAUGACAAGGACUAUUUCUUCACCUUCUACUGAAAUUCUCACUCGAUUUAAUUUGGCACUAAAAUGCAUAAUAAGUGUUAAUUUAACUUCUCAUUGAUAAACAAUAACUAAGAAAGCAAACAUGUAAAAGUCAUUAUGAAAUUUUAAAACCAGGGUUUUUUUGAUCACCUUUUUUGAUAGUGUUCUUCAUUAAUACGAUUCAACUUUGAUCCUGAGUGAAAUUAUUUAUUCUGAAACACAGAGUAGAGAAAGUGGAGAGUCCCCAAGUCAAGGUCAGCAUUGUCUGUUAAGUUAGUAAAGCUUGUUUUUACUGACACAAAUGACCUUGUUUUUGUUUUCACUGUUACAUCUUGGCAUCUCUGUCCAAUCCGACCCUUCCCCUAAUCCCAGAGGACCUACUGCCUUCAGAAAGCCCCCUGAGCAUCUCCUGGCUUUAAUUUUUGGGAAGGUUCUCCAAACUCCAGAAUUAGUUUUUCCUUUCUUCUCCACAACAUUCCCUCCAUACAGUUAACAGUUAAGGAGGACAGAGGUCUGGCCAGAUAAAUUAUUAAAAUAAUUUGUGUUACCCUUCCCAAGGGCUUGGGGAAGGGACAUCUUAAAUCCAAAGGUAUGAAUUUCUAAUGGCAGAGUUUAAAGGAGUGUGUUAGGAGAGUUGAAGAGAUCCCAGUGAGGGAGAUUUAAAUGUGAGAAUAAGUGAGGUAUUGAGGAGGUAACCUUCUCAGUGCUCCUAAAAUCUCCCCCUAAAGCCAGUCCCAUUGUGGAUAAUCCAGAGAUGAUGAAAUGUAGUAAUAACCAACAUUUACUGGGGACUUACUAUGUGCCAGGUACUAGUCCUACAUGUCUACAUGUGGGCGCUCAUUUAUUCCUCACGCUACCCUGGGAGGAAAAUAUUAGCAUCGCUCCACUUUAUGAAAGAAAAGACGAAACCCUAGAGAGGUUAAGUAAUUUUUUUAAGAUCACACAACUCUCUGAUGGUGGAAUUCAACGCCGGGCAGUCUGAUGGAGGGCCCCUCUACCCAGAAAUGGCUCUGCUGAAUCUUCAGUCUCCCCUUACAAGCAUUCUAGGAAAUCAGAAGAGCCAACUUUAUGAGCAAGACUUAGACACCAUCAUCAUCAUCGUCAUCCUCGUGGCAGCAGACAAGGUGUGGUGCCAUUGUGCGAGGGUGCUGCAUAGAAUGUGGAGAAGACAUUGAUUUAGCCCCACUGAGGGUCUGAAUCAACCUGCCUGCUGCCCCCUUUGGGUAGUCUCAAAUGCCUCCACUUCCAUGAUGCAUUUUUUGCUCAUCUCACCCAGCCCCCGGAUAAUAUAUCUCCUCUGAUUGCCAUUUUACUUUUUGCCUCUGCUCUGCCACUUAUUUAUUACUUUCUAUCUUGUAUUGUGGUUAUUUAUAUACACUGUCACACAGCUGAGCCGUUGCACAUUGCUGAGUCCUUUGCUGGGCUGACUCCUACGCGUUCUUUGAGAUUCUGCUCAGGUCUGGUUGCAUUCUGUGACUCUCUUGUGUGGAUUAGAUGCCUCUCUUCUGUGUGCCCCGGACACCUGUUAUUUAUCCAUUUCCUAGCAUUUAUUAUACUUGAUUAUAAAGGUUCACUUGUCAGUAUUCUUAACUAGAUUGAUCCCAGGUCCCAACAUAAGGGGACUUGUCGUAUACUUACUUGAAUCUUUGGUGCGUUGCACAAUACCUGGCACUUACUGAACCCUUCCCUCCCCCCUUUUUAAAUGAAUGAAUCAUCUGUCUAAGUCUGAUUAGACUUUGAGGACAAAAUUUGAUACCUGAUUCAUAUUUGUGCGCCCCCACCCCACCAAGAUGCCCAGCACUUAGUAGCUGCUCAGUAAAUAUAGCAAUGACUAGGGGCGCCUGGGUGGCGCAGUCGGUUAAGCGUCCGACUUCAGCCAGGUCACGAUCUCGCGGUCCGUGAGUUCGAGCCCCGCGUCGGGCUCUGGGCUGAUGGCUCGGGGCCUGGAGCCUGUUUCCGAUUCUGUGUCUCCCUCUCUCUCUGCCCCUCCCCUGUUCAUGCUCUGUCUCUCUCUGUCCCAAAAAUAAAUAAAUAAAUAAAUAAAAAAUAUAGCAAUGACUAAAUGAUUGCAAAACACAGAAAGGUAUAUGAUUUUGUUCUCCAGAUAUAGGGCAAGACUAGGAACUACCUUAAAAGGUACAGGGUGUUAAAAGUUUGCAUAUCCAUGCUAUGUUCUAAAAUUGGAGAUAUAAACACCUCCUUCUAUAAUGGAUGAGAAAGAAAAGAACAUUUCUUUUUCUUCAUUUUGAAGUUACUUGGUUAGUAAACUGUAGUCCAACAUUCCAUCAAACCCAGGUCCAGAUGACUCUAAAGGCAAUAUUGUUCCUGUCACACCACACCAUUGAGAUCUUAGGGUAGAGGGGCCCUAGUUGGGCCCAGAAGAACCAGUAGGGCUGAGGUAAUCAGACAGGAAUAGACACUGCAUGAACUGUAAUAUAUAUAAACAAGUCUUUUAGGAAGACCUAUCUGGAAGGAGCGUGGAGAACUGACUGACAAGGGGAGAGGCUAGAGGCUGGAAUGACUAUUUGGAGGCUAUUACAGCAGGCCCAAGUUGGGACCAGAAAACAAGAAAUUGAUUUAAGGAGGAAUUUGUGGACACUGGUGACUGAGAAGAGAUAGAUGGAUGGAGAUUUUGAGUCAGGGUUACGCCAAAGUUUUGAGCAUGAGUUAAAGAUAGUAAAUUCAGAGGUGAGACUUAAUUUUGAAAGAUGGUGAGUUUGUUUUUUGACAUGUUGAGUUGAUUGUAGAUAGGCAGGCUGAGUAGACAGAAAUGCGGGAUUUAAGCUCAAAGGCCCCAGGAUGUGUUGGUCCUCUGCAAAGGGGCAAUGGCUGUAGUUAGAAGAGUGAGAGAGGCAUCUUACGGAGACUUGGAGAGGGGAAAGAUUAAAGAAGCAAGGACUUUAAGGAACAUUCACAAUUAGGAGACAAAAAGAGGAAUUUAAAUCAAUAAAGGAGACAGACCUCUAGGUAUCUAUGUGAAGGAAGUGAAAUCACUGUCUAAAGAGACAGCUGCACCACUAAUUACAAUAGCCAAGACAUGGAAAUGAUCUAAGUGUCCAUCAAUGGAUGAAUGGAUUAAAAAAUGUGUUAUAUAUGUACAGUGGUGUAUUAUUCAGCCAUAAAAAAGAAAGAACCCUGCCAUUUGCAAAAACAUGUAUGAAACUUGAGGGCAUUAUGCUGAGUAAAAUAAGUCAGAGAAAGAGAAAUACUGUAUGAUCUCAUUUAUAUGCAGAAUCUAAAAAAAAAAAAAACCCCAAACUUACAAGAACAGAACAGAUUGGUGGUUACCAGAGGCAGGAAGUAGGGGGUCGGGGGGGAAAUGGGUGAAGGUGUUCAAAAGGUACAAACUUCCAGUUGUAAGAUGAAUCAGUUCUGGGAAUGUAGUGACUAUAGUCAACAAUACUGUAUUGUAUAUUUGAAGUUGCUGAGAGAAUAGAUCUUAAAAGUUCUCAUUACACACAAAAAAAUUAUAACUAUGUGAGGUGAUGGAUGGUAACUACUCAUAGUGUGGUAACCAUCUCACAGUACAUACAUACAUCAAAGUAUGUUAUUGUAUACCUUAAACUUAUACAAUGUUGUGUGUCAAUUACAUCUCAAUAAAAUUGGGGGUGUGGUGGGGGAGACAAAAUCAGAAUGACAUUCUAUCUUGCGGUUCAAACUAUAAGAGAUUCAGAAAGGAAAUGAUAUUCAUUGGAUGCUUUGGGCGAUUAGGUUUGGCCAUGUUGAAGAGAAUUCUAGUAGAACGCUUGGGUUAAUUACAGAGGAGGAAAAUGGAUGGUGAGAAUAUAGGUUACCCUUUGGAUAAAUUGCGAAUAAAAAGAAAAGGGAAGAAGAGUGUUGGAGUAAGAAAGAUUUUACUGAGAUACUAAAGCAAAGGCGAAGUAGAUGGAAGAGAAAUAACCAAGUAAAAAACCCCUUUAGAGGUGGGGUGAGAUGACAAGGUAGGUCUUGCAAUGUAGGAGGAGUAGUGGAUAAAAUUUGGGAUAAUUGUUGCAGGAAGUGUUAUAGGUGGUGAUGACGAUACAUAGAAGAAUUGCCGAGUAAAUAGUAACAAAGUUCAGUUGAAGCUCUAUCGCCUAAAUGUUGGCUGGGACCCACUUUCUCGGUUUUGUGGGUUUUUUUCUAAUAAUGUCUGGCAGCCCAGGAGUGGAAACAAACAUCUUAGAUUAGGCAUUUUCAUUAUUGGAACAAUGGGUGGCCAGGCACUGCAGAAAGGCAUCGUGGCACAUGAGAGCAACCUGGAUGCAAACCAUGGAGCUGUGGUCCAGUUGCAGUUCCAGAGAAGCCAGGGAGAAGGUGAUUGUGGGAAGUGGGAGGCCUCCAGCUCGGAAGGUGGAAACCCAGGAGAAAUAAAAUAGGUAUAUCUGAAGGGCAGCAUUUCUAGAGAUAUGUCUGGGAGAAGAAAAUGAAAUGAAGUAGUAGAAAUACUUAGAAUUAUUGCUGGGAAAGAGGUGAAGAACAAAAUGAAACAGGAAAUUAAUGGCAAUUAAAGAGGAAAAGCGUUGUGGGUCUAUAAUGGCAGAUGUGAAGGACUGGAAUGAAGAUGAAUAGAUUUGGGGAGACAUGAUUGGAGCACCUAGAAUAUCCCACGUGUUUCUCGUUAAGCUAUGAUGGACUGUGGUCCAAAGACUGGGGAAGAAGAUCAGCAUUUAUAUUUUAUUUUUUAAAUGUUUAUUUAUUUAUUUUUGAGAGAGAGAGAGGGAGAGAGAGAGAGAGAGUGCACAAGCAGGGGUGGGGAAGAGAGAGAGGGAGAGAGAGAGAGAUUCCCACGCAGGCUCCACACUGUCAGCAGGGCUGACUCAGGCCUGACUCAGGGCUGGAUCCCUGAGUGAGAUCAUGACCUGAGCCCAAAUCAAGAGACUGGGCACUUAACCAAUUGAGCCACCCAGGCACCCCGAGGAUCAGCAUUUAUGUAUCAGUCAUUCGGGGCUCCAGAAGGAAAUAGCAGGCUGAAAGUCACAAGGCUUGACCUUUAGAUGGCAGACAUGAGGUUAGGAGACACAACCACACAGGUCUGAGUACGAAAAAUAAAAGGGAAACAUCGACGGUAAUUUUUCAAAGAAUCUGAGCGUCACAUCGCAGAUCUGUCAGAGCUUUCACAGAGAGGAUGCCUCUAAUUCCCAGAUUGUGGACAGCAGGUUUGUGGUGACAAAGAACAAGACCCACACUCACAUUCAAGUGCCAAUGGCCCCAGGUGGAGUGGCCAGAAGGAAGGAGGUGGGAAUAUUGAUUUCUUCCUUACAAAAGAGACACUUAGCCCUAAGUUUUCCCAGUAGGGAUGAAGCUCUGAGACUCCCCAUUGACUUAAAUGGACUGGUCAAAGCUGGGUUAGGGAGAUUUGAUUCUCCUUCAUGGGCACCCUAGCAAAGAAAUUGCCUGCUGGGUAUUUUAUUACAGCAUUGGGCAGUAGACUACAAAGGUUAAGACACCAUUCCAUCCUAACCCUUCAUUUUCAGUCACAAAUGACUCUCUUGGUAGUAUUCCUUUGGGGUUGAACCUUGCCUGUUUUGGUUUGGACAAUGGAGUAGGUGAAUCGGUAAGAAACAGUAUAAACAGCAGGAAACUAGACAAACUGAGGGCUUUGACCAAGGCAAGAAUUUGUUAGGGCCUCUGAAAGCCCUAGCACCAGCUGGCUGAGUGGGCUCAGCCUUUCUGAGUCUUACUUUCAACAUCCCGAGGUAGAACUUCAUGUUCUCUUCUACAAUGAUAAAUAUUAGUAGGCAUGAACAACGCUUGGCAGUUAGAACAGUGCUGAAGAGUGUUGGACUUCAAUUCUACUCCCUAAAAAUGGGUAGAAUCUUGGCAAGUCAUUAAACGUCUAUGUCUUAGAAUUCACCUCUGUAAAACAGAAGGGGGUUCUUUCCAACCUUAAAAUUUCAGUCUAAGUUUAUCAAGAGCUGGGGGAACAAAAACAUUUUGAAAGCGGAAUUUACAGGUAAAAAAAAAAAAAAAGACGGGAGUCAAACUUAAAUAAAAGAUACUGUGAAUAGUUGAAGAACUAACAGGCCAAAUUUAUACCAUCCAUGUUUACAUCAGAGUCAGUGCUUUAUCAUCAUUAUGAGAAGCAAAUUUCAAAAAGGAAACAACAACAACAACAACAACAACAACAACAACAAACCCAGGUCUCUUCAGUGUCAAAAGCCUCAAUUUUUAACAUUGUUAACCAUUUGGAUUAAAAAUGAUUUAUCUUAGAAUUUCGAGAGGAGCAGAAAUAGUUUGAAGCUUUUAUUUAUAGGAUGCUUUUAAAAAUGAUUGCAUCAUCAUCCAUUAGUAUUUAUGUACAUACAGCAUGCUAGAUCUCUAUACAGCAAAAUAGAAUUAUUUCUCAAGUGAGAUGGAAAUGAAUGGAAGUUAGAAAAUUCAGAAGACAAAAAUUCUAGUAAAAUAAACUAUUUGAUAGAAUAAAUAAUAUUUUUAAAUGCAUUUCAAUCCCAUGUGCAAUGCAGGUAAUUUAACAUUACUAUGGAGACUCUAACCUUUCGAUUUCAUGACUUUUAGCACACGUUAUUCUUAAUAUAUUGCUCCGUUACCCUAGUGUUGCACAUUUAGUAUUCAUUUACAUUUUUCUUCUGGUUCAGUAAAUAAUUUGAAUUUUGACACAUAAAGUUAAGGGCGUAAUGCCUAGUGAAACGGUUAAGACUUUUUUGUAUGUAUUAUUGUUAUAGUGAGCUUGACUUUGAAUAGAAAUGAUCAGGCCUGGAACACCCCACCCAGGAGCUUAUUUUAGUAAUGGUUUUCUCUUACAGGUACCUUCUGUAAAUCCCUUCUUUCCACCUACAUUUGCAAUCCCAAAUGUUUCUUGUGUAUUCCUGGUUUUAGCUGUCUUUUCACAAGUGCAUACCUUACUUUUCCCCCCUGUCUUCUUUUUAUAGAGGUUCUCACCUACCUCCAAAACUUGACAGAAAAGCAUUUUAAUUGUUUCUCAUUUGGAAUCCUUCAAUUGAUCUUAGCUUUGUAUUUUUUUUUUUUAAUUUUUUUAACGUUUAUUUAUUUUUGAGACAGAGAGAGACAGAGCAUGAACGGGGGAGGGUCAGAGAGAGGGGGAGACACAGAAUCCGAAACAGGCUCCAGGCUCUGAGCUGUCAGCACGGAGCCUGACGCGGGGCUCGAACUCACAGACCGCGAUAUCAUGACCUGAGCCAAAGUCAGCCGCUUAACCGACUGAGCCCCCAGGCUCCCCAGCUUUGUAUUGUUUAAACAUACUAUUGUCUUUUUUUUCUUUAUUUACAUCCUUAGUCAUAAUGGAAGACAAAGAGAAAACAUCUUGCUAUGAAAAAACAGGUUUUCAAAGGAUCUAGGCUGGGGAGACACGGAAUAGAAACUUACAUGGCCACCCAAGACUUCUAAGUGGUUUCCAAAGCUUCGUCAUUCAGGGUUCUCCUUUACAACCAGCACCAUUAGUUAAAAGAUUGCCCCAGGGUAGGUUUCCUACUUUGUAGACAGGGAAACUGACUACAGAAUUAAGCAUCCUGGUUAAAACUAUGGGUGGUAGAAGCAAAAACAGAAGAAAAUUUAUCUAUUUCUCUUGGCCAUGUUGCCCCUCUUUCUUCAGGGAGACUAGGCAGUACAUUGUAACAUAGGCAGUCUUCACUUAACUGAUUCAGAAAGGCUGUAGGGCCAGUGCACGAAGUUGCAGAGAAACAUCUUAGACCAAGAUUCUACAAAGCACAAAUACAGAGAUGUAACAACAGUGUGUUCCCGGGAGGACUGUGGAGUAGACGUGUCUGUAAUAACAGUUGGUCACGGCAGCAAUGAGGGCCACAAAGAUAAAACAGGAGUAGCCUUAAUCUGAGCUUUAUUCAGCAACAUGCGCUCACCAGGAUGCCGUCAUUUUUCCUUCUGAGAAAAAGUGCAAUCUAAGGGGUUACCUUCCCACUCCACAGGGGACAGUGCCGGGAUGCCUGGGCUUCGAGCCCUCCAAAGCACAGGCCUCCCGAAAAAUCAGGGGAGCGAUACUUCGAUCAAAAAGCGGUUGUGAAGCCAUUCGAGGAUCUGGGCAUUAAGUCCUCCAGGGCACCAGGUUGCGACGCGCGAGCGGGGCUGGGCUGGGCUGGGCCGGACCGGACGUGGAAGGAGAGACCCGGCACCAGCCAUCGCGUCUGCAGGACCCGGGCGAGAGUCGGCUUUGGAGAGGGUGGGGGAGAGUGCAACCCCAAGAGGGGCCUGCUCCCCUGGGAGGGGAGAAAGCAGGCAACCGCUAAUGCAGUGCACAGAUUGAGAGGUGAAGACGCGGGACCUGCGCUAGUGGCAUNNNNNNNNNNNNNNNNNNNNNNNNNNNNNNNNNNNNNNNNNNNNNNNNNNNNNNNNNNNNNNNNNNNNNNNNNNNNNNNNNNNNNNNNNNNNNNNNNNNNNNNNNNNNNNNNNNNNNNNNNNNNNNNNNNNNNNNNNNNNNNNNNNNNNNNNNNNNNNNNNNNNNNNNNNNNNNNNNNNNNNNNNNNNNNNNNNNNNNNNNNNNNNNNNNNNNNNNNNNNNNNNNNNNNNNNNNNNNNNNNNNNNNNNNNNNNNNNNNNNNNNNNNNNNNNNNNNNNNNNNNNNNNNNNNNNNNNNNNNNNNNNNNNNNNNNNNNNNNNNNNNNNNNNNNNNNNNNNNNNNNNNNNNNNNNNNNNNNNNNNNNNNNNNNNNNNNNNNNNNNNNNNNNNNNNNNNNNNNNNNNNNNNNNNNNNNNNNNNNNNNNNNNNNNNNNNNNNNNNNNNNNNNNNNNNNNNNNNNNNNNNNNNNNNNNNNNNNNNNNNNNNNNNNNNNNNNNNNNNNNNNNNNNNNNNNNNNNNNNNNNNNNNNNNNNNNNNNNNNNNNNNNNNNNNNNNNNNNNNNNNNNNNNNNNNNNNNNNNNNNNNNNNNNNNNNNNNNNNNNNNNNNNNNNNNNNNNNNNNNNNNNNNNNNNNNNNNNNNNNNNNNNNNNNNNNNNNNNNNNNNNNNNNNNNNNNNNNNNNNNNNNNNNNNNNNNNNNNNNNNNNNNNNNNNNNNNNNNNNNNNNNNNNNNNNNNNNNNNNNNNNNNNNNNNNNNNNNNNNNNNNNNNNNNNNNNNNNNNNNNNNNNNNNNNNNNNNNNNNNNNNNNNNNNNNNNNNNNNNNNNNNNNNNNNNNNNNNNNNNNNNNNNNNNNNNNNNNNNNNNNNNNNNNNNNNNNNNNNNNNNNNNNNNNNNNNNNNNNNNNNNNNNNNNNNNNNNNNNNNNNNNNNNNNNNNNNNNNNNNNNNNNNNNNNNNNNNNNNNNNNNNNNNNNNNNNNNNNNNNNNNNNNNNNNNNNNNNNNNNNNNNNNNNNNNNNNNNNNNNNNNNNNNNNNNNNNNNNNNNNNNNNNNNNNNNNNNNNNNNNNNNNNNNNNNNNNNNNNNNNNNNNNNNNNNNNNNNNNNNNNNNNNNNNNNNNNNNNNNNNNNNNNNNNNNNNNNNNNNNGGCGGGGGUCGAGGUUGCGGAUUUAGUGAGUUGAGUCUGGAGAAACCUGUGGGGGAGGAGGGGGGUCGUCCUUUGCCCACCGCUCACUGAGCAGUGGGAAGAGACCGCGGCAUCUCUCGAUUUUUUAGAGGUUGUGUCCCAAGCAGUGCUUGGAGAGGCUGAACGAGGAGAUGGGACGGUCCCAAGGUCCGGGGAUGGAGGGGCUUUGGAGGGGGGAGAUGGAGAGCUAAAUAAGGGAAUUCGGGUUGAGUUUGGUGGGGUCUGUAAGACCCCAGAGGUGGAUAGAGAGGUAAAGGGGACUUUGCAGGCCAGUGACUUGUUGAAGGGUGAGGGGAAGUGAAAGCUAAGAAGCAUGUAUGAGUAGUAAAGGGCUCCAGUUGGUGAGGUGGUGAUGUCUAGGUCACUGAGUCAUUGUGGGGGUCGUGGACACAACAGUGAUUUCCAAAGUGGGGCCCUAGCCAUUGACCUUUGAAAGUUGCAAAGACUAUUAAGAUGUCACUGGUUAGUGUUGGGUGAGCCUGGUGAAAUGGAGAUAUCCUAAGGAGAACAACAGCAGGGUUGGUUAUUAUGUUCAGAGGGAAGGGCCAGAGGCCUGUAAUAUUGUCGCUGGGGGCCUUACCUGGUGGCUCCCAAGCCUGAAGGAGGAGGCCUCAAAUCUGUCCUCCAAGGGCCCCCUGGUCUGUGAUAAAGAGGAAGGACUUAGAGCCUAAAUUCUAGUCCAGUUAGGGACGAAUAAAGUUACUGGACAAGGUAGAGAAAUAGGCAUAAGUAACUCUUGGUGGAGAGAGACUCUAAGGUGGGAUGGAAUUGGUGCAAAGUUAGUCUUUGGUUAAGGCAAACAUGGAUUGCUCCCUGGCCGUGACUUCAGUGAUUUGGUGAUUUGGUGGCUGUAUAAAGAGAUACAUUUUGAUCAGUGAUGUGUGGUGGAUAACUAGCAUUUGAAAUAUUCAAGAAUUAAGUGUUGAUUCUUAGACCAGAGAUUUGGACUCUUGUGCACAGAGCACAAAAUGAUGAGUCCGAAGUAGCAGAUAGGAAGGAUGAGUAGUAAAAUAGUUGAGAGGUAGGGCCUGGGAGGGGCAAAAGGUUAUGGGCGGGUAACAGUCAUGUGUGAGUUUGACUCUUCAUGGAGAUUGUGCAACAUGAUUGCCCUGUUGAUUUUGGUUUUUUGUCUUGGUACUAGUGGUUCGGGAUUUUAGCAAGAGAUUAAUGCUACUGUGAAUAACGUUUUGGUCCUAAGUACAAAUGUAAGAAAGACAUGCUUACUAACUAUGGAAAAAAGACCCAAGCUAUUAAAGACAGAGAUGAGUUCAUGAAAGGACAAAUUAGUUGAUGUAAGGAUGCUUUGAAGAAUGAGGAUUCCAAUAAUAGGUGGUUUGAAUAAAAAGAGAAAAUCUAAGGCAAAGUUGGGGCUGGGGUGACAUCUCACAGUUUUGGGACCUAGGAUCUAUGAUUGAACCAUUAGAAUGCUAUUUUGUAGUAACAGUGUUGAAUGUUAGAUGAUAAUAGUUCCACAAGAUAUGGUAGGUUGGUAAGGAGGUCAUUGACUAAAAGGUGAAGGAACGAUUCCACACUGGUCUCUUCUUAGAAGGCAAGUUGUAUGUAACUUGGCUUUUGAGCUCAGGAUCCCUGACCUCGAUUUUUAGAUGACUAACAUAGGUGAAAAAGUACUUAUGCACAUUAGAAUUUGUUCUAUGGGAUAUUUGCCCCAUAGCCUUCAGAAGUGUCUUCUGCUGUGAAUCAAAAGAAAAUGCUCUCUGGCUUAUAGGGGGGAAAACAUACAGAAGUUUCACAAGCAUUAUAACCAACUAAAUUAUUUGAUCAUGGUGACUUGGGAUGGUGGUUAGAGCCAUGAACUUGGAAUCAGGAAGCUGGCUUCCCAUUGACUUCUGUGACUUUGAACCAAUCUCUCAUAUUUAUUCUCCAGUUUUCCCAUUGAUGAAGUGGGGAUCCCACUGCCCUGACCACUCAUAACACAUUGCAUUGCUUAACAAGUGAAUGCCUAUCUGUAAACUGCUUUGAACACUUCUGAGAAUGAGAGAUGAUGUAGCCCAACUUUUUUCUCACUUCUAAAAGACUGCUCUCUCAGGAACAGACCACUUUCAGCUUUUGUAACAAUCAUGGCAGCAUAGUUGAUCAAGGAACAAAAAGGAGUACCUUAUGCAUCUGUCUUGUUCUAUCAUCUGGGUUUUGGUUUCCUACUGAUUUUUUGAAAGGUGAUACCUCUUCUCCAUUUACGAGGAAGUUAGAGUGAUGACAAUCGGAGAGUGUAAGGAGAGGUCCCCAUGGAGAGUAGGAAUGUACAUGCUGUGAAUGCUCACCUAGACUGAUGUCUGCCCUGAAUUUGUGUGAUCUUGGACAUGUUACUUGGCUUCAUGGUGCCUUAAUUUUCUUCAACUAUGAAAUAUUGUUGGUGGAAUAACCCACUUGUCCGUCUGCCUUGGUUGACUGCGCUGUUAGUCUAUGGAAACUUUAUUUGUCGCAGAGCAACUUUAUUUGUUCCUAACCUCCUAUGCCCCACAUAUGCCUUUGGCAGGCUAAUGAAAUAUAGGACCUCUUUUGGGAACUGUGUUUUUAAAAUGCAUAAAAUGAAACACAUGGACUUACAAAUGACAUGGAAACAGUUAUCAAAAUGUUGAUCAGUUAUGAUAUAGUAAUACAUAUGCUUCUUUCUAACACAUUAAAUAACAAAAUGUAGCUGCAGGUCUAACCAUACUGUAAUUUUGAACUGGCGAUGAGUAAAUAUUGUGUUGAAGUGUCUGCAGCAAGUAUAAUGUGACAUGAAAAUGUCCUGUGGUUUGUCUUGGUGACAGUCACAGGGUUGCUAAUACUAUCACGGGUCGUUACCUCCCUUCACAAUUGAAGGCAGUGCUGACUUUUGCUGAAGAGGUGAGUGAGUACAAACGAAGAUGAACGUUUCCCCCCAGUAAGUCCACAGCUGCCACCAAGUUUCUCCACAGACCCCAUGUGAGGCAGCGGGUCCCAGGUUAAGGGCUCCUGCCCUAGACCAGCUGAUUUUUGAAAAUUAAAUGAUCUUAUGGCCACUCGCAGUUAAAGCUUUGCAGUAUUUUUUUUGACAUCUCCAAAUCCAAGAGCGUAAAGAAGGUAUGAAGUAAAAGUUCGUUUUGCAGCCUGUUGGUGACUAUUCUUGCUUGUGGAGAAAAGUAAAAACGAUGAUUAGCAUCAGGCUUUCACGUCUGGUGGAUUUUGCUUUGCGAAACAGCCCCGUCUUCAGGGGGGCGGAUUUGGGCUGUGCUGCUCCGUCUCCUUGCAUUUUGAGUUUUAGUGGUUUGCCUUCAUUCUCCAUUUUUGACCUAAUUAUUUUCUCACUACUCCUUCCAAAUACUCUGUUGGCCACAGAGCAUUGGGGAAUGGGUGGUUUUCUUUGCAGUUGGUGUGAAUUGGGGUAUGAACUUCUCCAUUCUUCUCGUCCCUGUAGGACUCAAUGUGGGACUAGCUGGUGUCACUCUACUUUGACCUAAAAAUUCCCUUCUGUUUGGGAGGCAGAGCUCAUUCUUGGAAAGUUCUUCCGUGUCCCAAUGUAGAAGAGAGAGCAGAUCGGACAUCUCGAAAGGUAAAGAACCUGAUGAUGAACAUGUAACUUCUGCGAUUCACUCUGAGUAUUUUAGAGUUUUGUUUCUGUUUCUGUAGGGUCUCUUAUACCUUCCACUUGUUCAUUAUUGUAACAGUUCCCAAGGCAAAGGUCAUCAAGUCGAAUGCAAGUCUAAACUGUAAGUGUAGUCACAUUAUACUUUCCUGUGAGCAGGGACUUCUGCAAUUGCUCACCUCAUGGGAAAGGCAGGUGGGAAGACGUUAAACAGGUGUUUAGCGUGUCUUCAUCGGUCUGUGUAAAUACAAGCCAAAGGUAGCAAAACUUAAGCCCCAAGCUCAUUAUAAUCCUUGGAUCACUCAGUAUUUAUUGAGUUUCUCUUGGGCAUCGGGUGCUGAGAUGAUGACCCUUUUUCUCAGGGGGCUCUGUGUCUCCACAUAACAGGGAUACAGUUUAUAAGGUGUAAUAGUGUUGUGACUAUGACGCUGAAGGGCCACAGAGGACAUGCCUAGGGAUAGCUGGGAAUCAAGGAGAAUUUCACAAAGAAGGGACAUCUGUGCUGACAUUUUACUUUGGGUGGCCAUCAUUCCAAAUGAUAGUUGAAGUUCAUUUUUGAAUGUUUACAUUUUGCCAAGACUCUUUAGUUUGGUAGAAAUGUUUAUUUGCUUGCCUAAGGUUUGUUGGCCUGCAGGGCACUAGAGGCAUUUUGACCCUUCGAGUAUGAAAACACAACGUUAGUAUUUUGUGUGGACCAAGAUUUUCUGCACAUGCCUAUCACCUAGUUGUCUUUCCCCCACAUGUUGGAGAGAGAGUGUUUCUUCCUGUUGUGUACUCUUUCUGCAAGGAAGCCUGUUAGGAGUUGGCAUGCCAGAAGUCAAGAAUGAGCUAGGAAUGGAAUCCUGCGGCCUUUUCGUUCCACAUUCUAAGUUUGAUACUCUGCCUUUUAUGGAGCAGUGGUCAUAGUGUAGAAAUGAAAUUUGUUAAACAUGACAUAGUUGUAAUAAACUUGACUUCUUAGAGCAGGAAAGUGGGAAAGGAUCAUUGGAGGAAUGGAAAUUGGUAUUGUAGAGGUGGUUCUGAGCUUGGUCAGAUUAACUUGUGAAUUUCUUUACAACAUUGUGACCACCUUGUAGAGUCUCCUUUUAAAGAGUCCGAGGUAGUGUGGCCUUAGAACAGGCUGGAACUUGGUUCUUCCUUGCAAUUUCAGAACUAUAAAAUCUGGGCAAAGGGGGGAGGCUCAGGGUUCUAAUUCUGUUUUACAAGGACUCACACUGGAAAUUGUCCUGCUUGACCAGUAGCUUGUUUUAUUGACUUACCUAGCUCAAGUCAAUGUAGCCUUGUGCCACAGUAGGCACUCAGUCAGAGGAAAUCAUCUGGCCAGGUUGUUUGGCCCCAAGUUCUCCCGAAAGUAUGUGAACCGUGCUUGCCGAACGCUUGUGAUGCAGAACCCGGUUGAGAAGGGGGAGGACUGCUGCGUCGCUCUGUGCCUUUGGCAUCAUGUCUCCAGUUGUGUGUCUCCCGCCUUCCCAGCCAGCUCUCACUUCUCCCUAAUAACAAGGACUGGACAGAAGCAAAAAUGGGAGGGGUGUUUUUCUCCUACCAAAUGCCCAGAAAUUUAAAAAAUAGAAACAUUGAUUUUAUUUGCUCUUAGUAUUUCACCAGUCGCUGAAAAUAAAACGUGCAGUUGGGGAAGAGGCAGAGUCCCAAGGCCUAGGGCCUUGAGAUGUCUGCAGAUUGGAUAACACACUCUUUAAAAAAUUGGAAGUUGAUUCCCUUUACCUGGGAGGUGACAACAGCCUCUCAAUCUAGUAUUCUAGAAUAAAUAGGAAAUCUGUUCUUCUCUUAAGGUGUUCAGUGACAACACGAUAUAGUGGAUUUUUAAAAGAAAUCCAUUUAGGGGCACCUGGGUGGCUCAGUCAGUUAGCGUCUGACUUCGGCUCAGGUCAUGAUCUCACAGUUUGUGAGUUCGAGCCCCGCGUCGGGUUCUGUGCUGACAGCUCAGAGCCCGGAGCCUGUUUUGGAUUCUGUGUCCCCCUCUCUCUCUGCCCCUCCCCCACUUGUGCUCUGUCUCUUGCUCUCAGAAAUAAAUAAAUGUAAAAAAAAAUUUUUUUUUAAUCCAUUUAGAAGUUUUUCUUCUUCAUCCUCAUCCAGGUGAGGGUCACCUUUGAGAAAGGGGUUCCCGGACUCCCCCGGCUCCUCACCUCCAGGAUGAGCACUGCGGUAUCGUGACCCUUGGGGUUUCGGUGAGUAGCCUGAUGGAUGGUGGCACUAGAGAACCUGGCUGGCUUAGAAAGAUGAUCUUGGGGAAAAACUUCGGCUUUUGUUCAACAGAUAUUUUUUGAGCAGACACCACAUGCUGGGUGCUGUAGUAAGCACUGGGAACACAGAGGUGACCAAACAAAUCACCCUUGACCCCUGCCUUCCCUUUCUGAAGAAGAAAUCCCGAAGCCGAGAUUUCAGGCAUUCGGCAAAAAUAUUCAGACUCCAUACGGAGGGUUGUGGUGAGGGAGAGACGUGUCGGGAAUGACUCCCGUGUUUCCGGCAAGAACCGACUGGGUGGACGAAAGUGCCAUUGACCACAGUGUGGAAGACUGAGGGGCAGGUGCGUCGGGGAGGGAUGAAGAGUUCCUCUCCCAUCUAGGGAGACGUCAAGGUGAUGGCUGCAUGUGCAGGUCUGCGGGGCGCCAGCUGAGCUGGAGAUGGGAAAUUGGGAGUCAUUGGCUCCGAGAGAGCUUACAGAGUGGGGAGAGAAGAGUGCCGAGGAGCUCUGAGGAGCUCUGAGUCGUAGAGGCUGAGUGGAGAAGGGGCUGGCACAGGGCGCAGGUGGAGAGCGACUGGGGAGGCAGGAGGGAAACCAAGGAAGUGUGGCGGCCUGGAAACCGAGAGGGGAGAGUUCCAAGAAGGAGGUGAUCAGCUGGCAGACUAAGAGGUGGAGUCCGAUGAGGUUACAAAAGUGGCCAGUGGUGACCUUAACCAAAACAGUGGUUUCUGUGAUCCGGGUGGGGGUGGGGGGUGGAAGUCAGUUUAAAAUGGUUAAAGGGUGAACGGCAAGUAAGGAAGGGAAAACCACGUGUCUUGUCAACUCUGUGGAGAGACUUGGCUCUGAGAGGGACUAACAACAUGCUUUGUUUUCCUGUAAUUUUUUGGUCUCUGUUCAACGCUGGAAGACAUACCACGUGUCUGCGUGGUGGCUGGAAGCACGCAGCAGAUAGCGGGGAAGACCCAAGGAGAGAGAGAGAGAGAGAGAGAGAGAGAGCGUGCUCAUGGAAAGCUGGAAGGGAUGGGGUCUAGACCGCCUGUGGCGGGACUGACCUUUGAGGAAAAGUGGGCUAUUUUCUCUGUUUCGAUGAUAGAGAAGAAGGAGGGGGUGGGCACCGUGAAAACAGGUUUGCAGACUUGGUGGUGAGGACGACGUCACGUCCUGCCUGGUGACUUCUUUUCUCCUUGUUAAGUCCUGGGCAGGACCGUGCCCUGAGAGAGGGGAGGGCAGGGUGGAAGGGGACAGUUGAAGAGGAACAAGAUAUGCCAUUGGGCAGGAUAAGCGAGUGAGCUUGCUAGACAGUGAUGGUCGCCGUAGUACCAGUUAACCCAGAGGCUGAUACUGUGCCGCCAAGCGCUGUCUUCCGGGCGCUAGCUCACCUUGUCCACCAAGUCCCCAUCUUGACAGUGAUGAAGAGCACAGCCGGGGGCCUGGCCGAAUGCCAGCUCUCCCACUUACUAGAGUAUGACUAACUCGCAUAUGACUAACUCACGUAUGACCCAACUCGCUCCGGCGAACGGCUAAACGUUUCAGAGCCUCAGUUUCCUCACCUCUCAAAUAGGUGGGGGUACCUGCCUCCCGGCGCUGUGGUCAGUGACUUAAUAUGUACAGGCCUUGCCUGAAAGAGUGUCUGAUACCUCGUUAGGAAGAAUUUUAAAUAUGAGCUAAGAAGAAAAGGGAGAAGCAUUGAAUGAAUAGAUCUUCAAGUUGGAAGCCUGAGUUCUGUUGGAGGAAAAAGUCUCUCUGUGGCUGUAAUGAAUCAUCUUCUGUGGAAGACCUUUUCCAGUCCUUAAAAUGACAGCUGAGCACCAGCCUGCAAAUGUAGGCCCCCAAGAGCCAAAUUGUAGUCUUUGGAACUAUAUGAUGAGACACUUGGUGGAUUCUUUUGCCGGGCUAAGGCUAGGGUGACUGACUUCAACUACUCCCCUGGCUCAUCCAGGGGUUUUGAAAACCCAGGAUUUUGUUCCCCGUCAGUCAGGGAGUCCACAUGCCUGCUUCAGCCUUCAUGCUGUCUCUCCGCCCGUAAGGUCAUGGUGAGGAGGUGGCUUCAAUGAAGAGUAGGGUCGGGGAGAACCGAUUGCAAACCUGGGAAGAAGCCAUGCACACCGUUCACAUGUGCUCCCUCCAUUCACCUGUAAAAUGCCCAUCCAUCAAGGCUGAGAAACUCGUGAGAAUAAGAAACUGUCUUUAGGAGUACUUUGAAGAUAAAAGUGUUGUGUGCUCACAGUAUUAUUAUCAGAAAUCAUCUUUGCUACCAGUUCAUCAGAAAUGCCUGGCAGACGGGCACCUGGGUGGCUCAGUCGGUUAAGCGACUUCGGCUCAGGUCAUGAUCUUGCAGUUCCGGAGUUCGAGCCCCGCAUCAGGCUCUGUGCUGAUAGCUCAGAGCCUGGAACCUGCUUCGGAUCCUGUUGUCUCCCUCUCUCUCUGCCUCUCCCCCACUUACACUCUGUUUCUCUCUUUCAAACAUAAAUCAACAUUUAAAAAAAUAUUUUUUUAAAGAUAGGCCUGGCAGAUUGAGGCGAUUUGAUAUUUGUAAUAUGUUUUGAGUUCCUUUGGAGAAAGUGUACCACAAAUGCCAGAUGUUUCUGUUCUGGGAGAAGCAGACGGAGUAUGUCACUGAGGGUCCGAUCACAUCUUAGUACAUCAUGCUGAGUAUUAUAGACAAGCCAAAGAACUUGAAAACAAGAUUCUUGUCUUCAAAGAACAUAGUCUUUCUUCAUAAGGAGAUAAAACAUACACAUAGGACUAUUCAGUAUGACAUAUGAUUGAGUGCUAGAAUGUGUGAUGCAGACAGAAAGUACCAGAAGUUACAGAAGGGGACUAUUUGGUGGUAACUACUUUUCUGUUCCUGAGGUAAAUGUUUUCUGAUGGCUUUGUCCAUGCAAGAUUCAGUAGCUACUUGUAUGUUACCAGGGAUUCCUGAUGUUUAGUGAGAGGUUACAAAAUGGUUUAUGAUUAUGUAUGUCAGACUUGACAACCACGAUCAAUUUUAUAGUUCAGACUGAAAAAAAAAAAAAAAGCUGAAGGUGGUGGGGGCUAAAAGUACAACCUUAAAUACCAUCAAGACCAAAAUGUUUUUUUGGGAUGUUUUUCCCCCCGAGGUCGGCAUAGAAAACAUUCCAUACCAUUUUCUUCUAGUUUUUCCUGACUUCAUCAUUUAAAAAGAAAAAAAAAAAAGUAAUUGUGUGCACUGAGAACUUCCAUAAAUUCCUUUUAGCGUCUCAGGUAAAAUAGCUGAGACUAUUGCAGAUUUCCAAAGGAAGGCAUGGAUGUUUAACCCUUGACCGUGAUCAGACUCGGCGCCAAAACCUGUAACAACUCCCAAUCUCCAGUCCGGUUCUGGAGUCCCACAAAGUGUGUGUAAGUGGUAACACCCGAGGUACUUCUGACUCCCUGUGAUUCUUCAGCCACGAGUCCCGCAUCUUACAUCCUUCUAUCUCAGUCCCGGGCCCCUUCGCCAAGCUAUCAGAAGUCCCACCAAGCUAUCAGAAGAGAGUAGAGGGGACAGCGGUUACCCGAAAACCAUAUUGGAACUGCCCUGGAAGGAUCAGUGACUGAAAGUGGGUUUUGGUUGUCCCUGAACUAGUCCGGGCGUCCUGAAGUAAAGGGCGUUCUCAUUUGCUCUCUGGCUAGGUUUGGGAAUAUUUUCUUGACCUUUAUGCUUCAAAUUAGCCUUGCAGAUUGGCUCAAAAACUAUCUUAGCUUCCAAAGAUGUUCUUUUACCUUCAGUAUGAUGGAUCAUUCCCAUGCUUAGCCAUGCCUACGGUCCCUGUCAUUAAACAGCGAGAACUCCAGACACAUCCUUGGCAUAAUUUAAUAGAAAGAUCGUGGAAGUCAGGGGGCAGAACUGAUUGUAUUUGGUAUUGGCUCAGCAGCCGAUCUCAGAAGGACCUCCUCCAAUGUCUCCCCACCCUGAGGUCCCGAGAAUAUAAACAGAGAUUAAUUUGUUUCGUGGUUUGAAAUCGGGAUGGGUUUGCUACAUUUCAGUGCCGUUGUCUGCCAUCAGAGGCGAAACACCGGAUAGUUGCUAUGGAUUUGGGAGUGCCCUGUGGUUUCAAAGCAUUGUUUUGAAAAGAGCAGAUAAACCUGCGUUUUGGGUGGGUUUGUAUCUGGAAGUGGAGAAACGUAAGGGAGAAUAUAUGGCUGAAGAUGAAAUGUUUUUCUUGUGUGCUUGCCGACGCCCGGUACAUGAUACUUGGUGGGAGGCCCGUGUGCUUGGCAGAGAGUCCUGUCACUCUCUAGCUGCCUUCUCGCCAGAGCAUGAACACCGCUCCCCCUUUGGCCCUGUUGGAAGCCCAGGAGUGAUGUAGCCGCCGCGUCUAGUUGGCUAGACUGUAACCUUGAUCCUGUUGUAAGGGUGUUUUAUGUCUUUCUGGGUGGCCUUUUCCCAUAGUGUGCCCUGGAGAUGCGAGAUUUUCCUUUGGCAGCAGGAGGCACACACCCAGAGGAUGCCGGAGCUGCAAGGGGAAAGGACCCACUUCCACAGCAGAGAAAAGCAAAGAGGAAAAAGGCAUACAGGUGGCCAGCGCUGAGGGCCGCGCCCAGCAAGCCGCCGGCCGCUGCCACUGCCCUCAGCAGCUGUCUGUGCUGCAGCCCGAGAGGAACUCGN